UUUUUUUUUGAAUGGUCCCUUGUCAACUUGUAAUGGAAGCCCAUACGGUCCAUUUCAUGUAUAAUGUAGUAUUUUAUUUGCUUCUCAAAAUUUGAAUUUUGACGCAUAUGAAUAUAUUUUUCCAGCAAGGAAAAAAAUAUAAAUAUACCAUAUGCAACAAAGUCGAUAACGCUGAUAACCCAUAAAAAAAUCUAGCCCUUUCAUUGCUCAAAACCAAAUACUCUAGCUUGCCCCUUCUUGAGCCGUUGGUGCUGAUUUCCGUCGAUUAGAUGAUACAAGUCGUCAUGAGCUGUUGCAAUUGCGACCUGCAGAGAAUGCGGUGGGUCCUGCUUCCUUGGCAUCUCCUUCUUGCAUAGUUGGAGUACGCAAAUUCUUCUUUAUGAAAUGCUUAUCGAAGAAAAAAAUAGUCGUAUGCAGUUGUGCACUGCAAGAGCCUCAUCGGCGGCCCCUCUUCCAAGCCUUUGUGGAGGCCAUCUGAAACCAACUUCAGGAGAGCAAAUUUUAACUUGUGUGUAGUGAAGUGAUUUUUCUACAUGUGGCCAGCUAAAAAUUGCCUUAAAAAUUAUGACGGUCAGAUGCUGACCUUUACCAUGCACACAACACACGACUCCCUACUGAACGAUAGGCAGCAUAUAACAGCUAGCCGUGGGGACGUCGUCGCUGCGAUGUUCCAACAGGAAAGAGAAGAUCAGUUACCUUAUUGGUGAUGGGAAAUCUAGCUAGAUGGGGAUGCCCAAGCGUGUGCAUUAUUACGCGAGAUAGCAACAGCUUCCAGCGUUGCUGCUCCUCAUCACUAUCAACAUAAACUGAACUGGACCCCAUGGGGUUGCGCAAGAAUCUCUCUGAUUUACGUCUAUUCCAUCAAAUUAUAGGUCGUUUUGACUUUUUUAGUUCAUAAAUAUUAUGGUAUAUAUCUAGGUGCAUAGCAAAAACUAUACAUCUAAAAAAGCCAAAACGACCUACAAUUUGAAAUGGAGGGAUUAGAUAAUAGAGGCAAUUGACGAGCAUAUAUAAUCCAUGCUCCAAGUCUCUGUUUCGGGCAAAUGGAAUAUACACAAUGUGUUAAACUGUUUCUAUAUAUACCAUAUUUUUCUUCCAACUCUGCAUAUUUGAGGAAAAAGAUAGAUAAUAUAGUGACCUCUACAAACGAGGAAAUAAAUAUUUCUGCUAACAUAAAAAUACAGGCAAUUGCAUGGGUGAUCUUAAGCAUACCGAUGUUAAGUCACCUUCAGGCUAGCAAUUGGGCAUUAACCCCAUAACAGAUAGAGAGCACAAAGAAUAAUUGAGACAGACUUUCCCUAACCAAUUCUUUUAUAACCAGAAACUUGCGCUUAUUCAUAAUGGAUUGGAGCAUGCGAAAAUAGCCCAAAGCAAUCACCAGCCAUGCUUCUUGUGAGAAUAAGAUAUCUCCUCCUGCAGCAGCUGCUGCUACUGCUCUCCAUCUUGGCAACCAACUGUGCAAACGCUUCCACAUCUUUGACAGGCCAUGGGGACGAUGAGGCAGCUCUUGUGGCUUUCAAGGCCAAGAUCUCUGGCGACUCUGGCAAGCUGAGCUCCUGGAACGAGAGCACCAGCUACUGCAGCUGGGAGGGCAUCACCUGCGGCAAGAGAUACCCGUGGCGGGUGGUCGCUCUGGACCUCAGUUCCCAGGGCCUCACCGGCACUAUCUCCCCCGCUGUCGGUAACCUGACUUUCCUGCUCUCACUCAACCUGAGCUCCAAUGCCCUUCAGGGAGAAAUCCCUCCCAGUAUCGGCUCUCUCAGCCGCCUCCGGAUCCUUGAUUUGAGUGAAAAUAUGCUCAACGGCGUUAUUCCAAGCAACAUCAGCCGCUGCACCAGCCUCCGUGUGAUGAUGAUCAGUAGAAACAAGGGGGUGCAGGGAAGCAUACCAGCUGAGAUUGGGAACAUGCCGUCGCUUGCUAUUAUAGAGCUGUUCAAAAACAGCAUCACCGGAACCAUCCCAUCCUCUUUCGGAAACCUUUCCCAAUUGACCGUCUUGUUCUUGUCGUUAAACUGUCUCGAGGGAUCUAUACCAGCAGGAAUAGGGAACAAUCCAUAUCUUAAGUCCAUUCAGCUUAGCGGUAACAACCUCUCAGGAGUACUUCCUCCUUCACUGUGCAACACAUCAUCUCUAUAUGUCCUUUUUGUGGCACAAAACAAGCUGCGGGGCCGGUUACCAUCUGAUCUAGGAAAAAGCAUCCAACGUUUGGGGCUUGGAGGAAAUCAAUUUACUGGAGCUCUUCCACAGUCAAUAACUAAUCUCUCCAGGCUCCAGAUUCUACAUAUCGAAAGUAAUCAGUUUUCCGGAGUAGUUCCUUCCGAAUUAGGCAGAUUUCAAAAUCUUGAAGUGCUUGUUCUGGAUGAAAACAAGUUUGAGGCAAACAAUGAGCAAGAAUGGGAAUUUAUUGCUUCUUUGACGAAUUGUAGCAGAUUACACAUGCUGUCCAUUGGAUGGAAUAGGUUUGCGGGGAAAUUACCAAGUUCAUUGGCUAAUUUGUCCACCAACCUCCAGUGGCUACGGACACCCAACAAUAAUAUAUCUGGUGUCAUCCCAUCAGAUAUUGGAAAUUUGGCAAGCCUUCAGCAGCUUGAUUUUAGACAAAACUCACUCACUGGGGUCAUUCCUGAAAGCAUAGGAAAGCUUACACGAUUGGUCUAUCUAAUUCUGCAUUCCAACAACUUUUCAGGACGUAUACCAUUCUCCAUCGGAAACCUCACUGAAAGCAUAGGAAUUGGUGCAUACGCCAACAGCUUGGAGGGCCCAAUUCCACCAAGCAUUGGAAACUUGAGCAAACUUUUAGGCCUAGAUCUAUCAAUGAACAAGCUUACUGGCUUGAUUCCUAAUGAAAUUAUGAAGCUAUCAUCAAUCUCAAUAGGUAUUGAUUUGUCCAACAACAUGCUGGAGGGAUCACUUCCAUUAGAAGUUGGUAAUUUGGUACAUCUUGAACAGCUCAUCCUGUCCAGGAACAAAUUGUCAGGUGAGAUACCUGGUACUAUUGGCAACUGCAGAGCCCUGCAAAUCCUCUUAAUGGAUGACAAUUUGUUCCAAGGAAGCAUACCUGCCACUUUGAAGAAUAUGCAAAGCCUCACUCGCCUCAAUUUGACAGCCAAUAAACUGAAUGGCAGCAUUCCUGGCAGCUUAGGCAGCAUUACUAGCUUGCAGGAACUGUACCUUGCCCACAAUAAUUUAUCAGGACCAAUCCCAGAAACUUUAGGUAAUUCAACAUCACUGCUCCAUCUUGAUCUAUCUUUCAACAAUUUGCAAGGUGAAGUACCAAAAACGAGGAUUUUCAGAAAUUUAACUGGACUAUCAAUUGUUGGGAACAAUGCAUUGUGCGGUGGAAUACCACAACUCCAUCGGCCAAAAUGUCCAAAUUUAAGAGAAAUAAGGAAUAAGAAAGGUGCUUCAAAGUCUCUUAAAAUAGUAAUCCCAACAACAGGAGCUCUCUUGCUCUUACUGUCAGGGCUUCUUUGGGCUGUAUUUCUUUACAGAAAGUUAAAGACAGCACUGAAGAAAGAAAUGGCACCUCAAUUUGCAGAUAUGGAACUUCCAACAAUUCCAUACAACGACAUACUGAAAGGAACAGAUGGAUUUUCAGAAGCAAAUGUGCUAGGGAAGGGAAGAUAUGGUACAGUAUACAGAGGAACUCUAGAAAAUCAAGCCAUUGUCGUAGCAGUUAAGGUGUUUCAUCUUCAGCAGUCAGGAUCAUACAAAAGCUUCCAGGUUGAAUGUGAGGCACUAAGAAGAGUGAGACACCGAUGCCUUGUAAAGGUAAUCACAUGCUGCUCAAGCAUCAACCACCAUGGCCAAGACUUCAGAGCCCUAGUCUUUGAGUACAUGGCUAACGGCAGCUUAGAUAGAUGGAUCCACUCAAAUUCUGAAAGUCAAAAUGGACAAGGAAAACUUAGUUUAUCACAGAGGUUAGAUAUCGCUGUAGACAUUGUGGAUGCUUUGGACUAUCUUCACAACGAUUGCCAGCCACCGGUCAUCCAUUGUGAUCUCAAGCCAAGCAACAUUCUUCUCAAUCAGGACAUGAGAGCUCGUCUUGGGGACUUUGGAAUUGCUAGAGUUCUAGAUGAAGCAACAAGCAAACAUCAUAUGGACUACAGUAACUCCAUAGGAAUCAGAGGUACCAUCGGAUACAUUGCUCCAGGUAACUGAAAUAUGCUGUUCACAAAGUGCUUCACAAGGGCAUCUUUGACUUUUGUACUUACCUUUGUACGCACACCAUGUUUCAAUCUGUUGCAGAAUAUGGAGAAGGGCUUGCGGUAUCGACUAAUGGUGAUGUCUUUAGCUUUGGUAUCACUUUGAUUGAGAUGUUUACAGGAAGGAGCCCAACAGAUGAUAUGUUCAGAGAUGGAAUCAGCCUGCAUUAUUACGCUGAGGCAGCUCUUCCUGACAAGGUUAUGGAGAUUGCAGAUUCCAAUAUCUGGCUGCACGAUGAAGCAAACAAUAGCAUUGGUAAAAGGCAUAUAACAAUAACCAAUGAAUGUUUGUCUGCUGUCAUUCAACUUGGUGUCCUAUGCUCAAAGCAAUUGCCAUUGGAGCGGUUAUCAAUGAACGAUGCCACUGCAGAGAUGCAUUCUAUCAGAGAUGCAUACAUUAAUAGUCAACAACUUAGUGAUGUCGAAUCAUUUUAGUAACCACUGCCUUAUAAUGUUGUUGAAGCCUGCAUUAUACUUGCUCUUUUGUGGGUCUGUUGUAGAACUUAUAAACUGGUUCCAUGUUGUCCAUAUCAUAGGCAUCAUUGCGAAGGACAAAAACAGCAGGUUGGCCAUGAGUUUCUUUCAGUCAACUUGUCCCUGCAUUAAGAAGAGUAUAGAUCAUGUCCCUGCAUUCAAAACGUAACUUUCAGUAAAAUUGUCAUGCCUUAUAGUGGAUAGAUUUGCAGCUCUGUUGGGAAUUAAAUAGCCUUUUCAAUUUUCAUAUAUAGAUUUGGAUAGACGGAAGCAUUAUAUAAAAUUAUAGUAGACAUGUUUAUAUGAAAUGCACCCCUCGAAACUACUUUUAAAACAUAGAAAGUUACACAAUGAGUAAUAAAAAAUGCUCCAUCUAUUUAUCUAUUAAACGAUUAUCGCCCUUAAAGUUGUCACUUCUCUAACCAUUGGAUUAAAACAUCCAAUAGUUCAGAUUCAUUCAUCUCUUGCUGUUACUAUGACAGAAAAAGUGGGCGAAAUGAUAAAAUCUCAUAUGCUUUUCUGGAACAUUUUAUUCCUCUGGAGCAUUUGUUUUCUCUCGCAGGCCAAUUUUCUUAGACUGAAACAUUACAAAUUUGCAUACUGCAUGUUUAUUGUGAGAUAAUAAAAAAAUCGCAUACUGCAUGCUUAUUGUGAGAUAAUAAAAAAAUCGCAGAAUAUUCAUUAAGUAUCGGAUGCAUAUGAAAAUCAUAGCACAUGAUCUAUACUUUUGUAGUCGACAACAUUUUUAUUUGAUGCCGUUUAGUGCCCAAAUAAUGGUUUCACACAAAAAGGGUCGAAGAAAAAAAAUCCCAUUACUAUCAAGCAUUAGUGUCAAGAGAGAUAGAAUGAGAAAUUCCCUAGAAUCUAGAGGUACCAGAGAUUCGACUCCCACAAACUACACUCAUUUGAAAAACGGCCUUACUUGUGACAGAUUGCCCGGGGGCGAUAAAUUUUUCCCAUUUUCUGGCUCACUGCUGGUCUGCCUGGUCAGUUGUGUGAUAAACCUAUCACUGUGACAACUCCCAGAUUUAAAAAUUCCAAUAAAGAGAAAAAAAGUAUAGCCACCCGAGCUGAGACAAUGCACCUGAGCAUGCCUGUACAGUAUGCAUGUAGUUCGAACAAGAAUGAAUGCAUAUGCCACCAGUCAAGGAAACCAAGCUCAGCAUCUGCUGCCAUGGAAUGAAGCCAGGUCCAUCCCUACUUCAUAGGCCAUGCAGCUUCUCAGAAUCAGACAUCUGCUAAAGCUUCUGCUCUCCACGACGGCACCCUCAAAAUUUCAGAGGCAUUGAAAUCCUCCAAAAUCCUACAACACGGUGGGGUUGUGUGCACCCCCUCGCUCACGUUUCCUUGUUCGGCACCACCGCAUAGAACAGUUGAGGGGUGCAUCAUGGAGAAAAGAUCUACACUAACCAAUCUUUUUGACCUGAAAAUGAACGUGCGGCACCAUCAGUAAUGCAAUUGCACUAACCAAUCGCAUGCGAUCAAUUAAAAAUUACUCAUAUGAAAACGAGGUAUGCUUGCCUGUAUGUAUGUGUGUAUCAAACUCUAAUUUCAUGAGCACAAACCCUUCAGCAGACAUGCUGCUCGUCAGAAUUAGAUUCCUCCUCCUGCUGUUCUCCACCACAGCAGCCAACCAUGCAACCAGAGAAACAUCUUUGACAGGCCACAGGGGAGACGAGAGAGCUCUUGUGGCUUUCAAGGCAAUGAUCUCCCACGGCACGGGCAUGCUGGCCUCCUGGAACCAGAGCACCAGCUAUUGUAACUGGGUGGGUGUCACCUGCGGCAAGAAACACCCAUUUAGGGUGGUUGCUCUAAACCUCAGUUCCCAAGGGCUCACCGGCACCAUCUCCCCUGCCAUUGGCAAUCUCACUUUCCUGCACUCACUCAACCUGAGCUCCAAUGGCCUGAAGGGAGAGAUUCCUCCCAGCGUUGGCUCCCUCCAGCGCCUCCAGAACCUUGAUUUGAGUCAAAACAUGCUCAAUGGCGUCAUCCCAAGCAACAUCAGCCACUGCACCAGCCUCCGUGUGAUGAUGAUCAGUAGCAACAAGGGGGUGCAGGGAAGCAUACCAGCUGAGAUUGGGAACAUGCCGUCGCUUGCUAUUGUAGAGCUGUUCAACAACAGCAUCACCGGAACCAUCGCCCCCUCUCUUGGGAACCUUUCCCGGUUGACAAUGUUGUCCUUACAAAUGAAUUACCUCGAGGGAUCAAUCCCAGCAUGCAUCGGGAAUAUUCCAUACCUCCGUUCCCUUCAGCUCUCUUGUAAUAAUCUCUCAGGUUUGCUUCCACCAUCAUUAUACAACCUAUCAUCUUUGUUUCAGUUUUAUGUGGCAGACAACAAACUGCAUGGACGUCUUCCAGUUGACCUGGGAAAAAGCUUUCUAAGCAUCAAACACUUUGGGGUUGGAGAAAACCAAUUUACUGGACCUCUUCCACUGUCACUAACUAAUCUCACAAGGCUCCAGGUUCUUCAUGUUGGUGCGAAUUCCUUUACCGGAGUUGUUCCUUCCAAACUGGGAAGAUUGCACAAUCUUCAAGUGUUUGUUCUGGAACUAAACAAGUUUGAGGCAAAUAAUGAGAAAGAAUGGGAAUUUAUUUCUUCUUUGGCAAAUUGUAGCAGAUUGCAGAUGCUGAGCUUUGGGCAGAAUAGAUUCGCAGGGAAACUGCCACGUUCAUUGGCGAAUUUGUCCACCAAUCUACAGCGGCUAAAGGCUCCCAGCAACAACAUAUCUGGUUUCAUCCCAACCAUGAUUGGAAAUCUGGCAAAUCUUGAGGAACUUGAUUUUAGUUUAAACUUACUCACUGGGGUUAUUCCUGAAAGCAUCGGAAGGCUUUCACGAUUGAACCAUUUAUUUCUGUAUUCCAACAACUUGUCAGGACAAGUACCAUUCUCCAUCGGAAACCUCACUGGCCUAUCUUUACUUCUGGCAUGUAGCAACAGCUUGGAAGGGCCAAUUCCACCAAGCAUUGGGAAUUUGAGCAAACUCUCAGCCUUAGAUCUAUCAAGUAACAAGAUUACUGGCUUUGUUCCAAAUGAAAUAAUGAAGAUAUCAUCGAUAUCAAUGACUCUUGAUUUGUCCAACAACUUGUUGGAGGGACCGCUUCCUCUAGAAGUUGGGAAUUUGGUAAAUCUUGAACAACUCCUCCUGUCAAGAAAUAAAUUGUCAGGUGAGAUACCUGAUACCAUUGGCAACUGCAGAGUCCUACAAACCCUAUGCAUGGAUGAUAAUUCAUUCCAUGGAAGCAUACCUGCUACUUUCAAGAAUAUGGCAGGCCUCACUUUACUGAAUUUGACAGGCAACAAACUGAAUGGCAGCAUCCCUGGGAACCUAGCCAGCAUUACCAACUUGCAGGAGUUGUACCUUGCCCACAAUAACCUUUUAGGAACAAUUCCAGAACUUCUAGGUAAUUCAAAGUCACUGCUCCACCUGGAUCUAUCCUUCAACAAUUUGCAAGGUGAAGUGCCAACAGAAGGGGUUUUCAGAAAUCUAACCAGACUAUCAAUUUCUGGAAAUGAUGCAUUAUGCGGUGGAAUACCACAGCUCCAACUGCCAAAAUGUCCAAACUUCACUGCAAAAAAGAAUAAGGAAAUGAUGCAAAAGUCUCUUAGAAUAGCAAUCCCAACAAUAGGAGCUAUCCUGCUCUUACUUUCAGGACUUGUUUGGGCUGGAUUUAUGUACAGAAGGUUCAAGAUAUCAUAUAGGAAAGAAAUGUCACAUCAAUUCACAGAUAUAGAGCUUCCAAUAGUUCCCUACAAUGAUAUACUGAAAGGAACAGAUGGAUUUUCAGAAGCCAAUGUGCUUGGGAAGGGGAGAUAUGGUACAGUAUACCGGGGCACUCUAGAAAAUAGUGCCAUUACUGUGGCUGUUAAGGUGUUUAAUGUCCAGCAAUCAGGGUCACACAAAAGCUUCCAGGCUGAAUGCAAAGCAUUAAGAAGAGUGAGGCACCGAUGCCUUGUAAAGAUCAUCACAUGCUGUUCAAGCAUUAACCACCAAGGUCAAGACUUCAGAGCACUAGUCUUUGAGUUCAUGGCUAAUGGCAGCUUAGAUAGAUGGAUCCACUCAAAUUUUGAAAGUCAAAAUGGACAAGGACAACUCAGUCUGUCACAGAGGUUAGAUAUCGCGGUAGACAUUGUGGAUGCUUUGGACUAUCUUCACAACGGUUGCCAGCCACCGGUCAUCCAUUGUGAUCUCAAGCCAAGCAACAUUCUUCUCGAUCAGGACAUGAGAGCUCGUCUUGGGGACUUUGGAAUUGCUAGAGUUCUAGAUGAAGCAACAAGCAAACAUCAUAUGGACUGCAGUAACUCCAUAGGAAUCAGAGGUACCAUCGGAUACAUUGCUCCAGGUAACUGAAAUAUGCUGUUCUCAAUGUGCUUCACAAGGGCAUCUUUGACUUUUGUACUUACCUUUGUACGCACCAUGUUUCAAUCUGUUGCAGAAUAUGGAGAAGGGCUUGCGGUAUCGACUAAUGGUGAUGUCUUUAGCUUCGGUAUCACUUUGAUUGAGAUGUUUACAGGAAGGAGCCCAACAGAUGAUAUGUUCAGAGAUGGGAUCAGCCUGCAUUAUUACGCUGAGGCAGCUCUUCCUGACAAGGUUAUGGAGAUAGCAGAUUCCAAUAUCUGGCUGCAUGAUGAAGCAAACAAUAGCAUUUGUAAAAGGCAUAUAACAAUAACCAAGGAAUGUUUGUCUGCUGUCAUUCAGCUUGGUGUCCUAUGCUCAAAGAAAUUGCCAUUGGAGCGGUUAUCAAUAAAUGAUGCCACUGCAGAGAUGCAUGCUAUCAGAGAUGCAUACAUUAAUAGUCAACAACUUAGUGAUGUCGAAUCAUUUUAGUAACCACUGCCUUAUAAUGUUGUUGUAGCCCAUAUUAUACUUGCUUCUUUUGAGAGUCUGUUGCAGAACUUAUAAACUUGUUCCGUGUUGUCCAUAUCAUAGGCAUGAUUCAGAAGGACAAAAACAGCAGGUUCGCCAUGAGUUUCUUUCAGUCAACCUGUCAAGAGGAGUAUAACUGUGGGGAAGAAAUUCGAGAUCCAUGGAUGUCAUCUGGUCUAGUAUUUAAGCAUGAUUCUGAGGUUGAGAGCUUUGUUUUACUUCCAUUUCUUUCCACAAUAUUAAGCAUGAGGGACCCAACCAUCUUCAGCUCACAAUUCAUAUAAAACAUAAGGAUUUGACAUAGCCUGAAGGUUUACUCUUUUGUCUAUUCAUAAAACAUACAAGUGUAUUCUCGAGAGAACAAAAGAAUUGUUACUAUUCUGCAAGUCUGCGGGGUGCAAUUACUUACAGAAGACAAUUGAUAUAUGAGGAAUAGCUGGACUACUAAGCAUAAGCAUGACAAGAUAAAGAAAAACUGCUCAGUCUACUCUGGCAAAGUUUCCUAGUAGUGAACAAAUCAUGAUUAAAGAUUAAAGAAACAUAUUAAAAACAAAAUUUGAUGAAGAAUAUAUAAUGUAAAUGUCAUUGCUUGCCCAAGCAGCAGUCUUGAAACUUGCGACUUAUCAACAUCCACAUACUUAGACCAGUAGCAGCUGUACUUCGAAAUUGGAAGAUCCAGCCAGGGAUUGUAAUCCAGAUUGUAAUGAGCUGUUGCUGUUUCUAAAUCCCAGAAAUGUCAACAGCUGUAUCAUAGCCAAGGCCCCAAGACAUGGCACGCACAAGGCAUGUCAGGUUGUAGGGAUUAAUUAGUACUGGAUGCAAGCUGCCUAAUUUUCACAUUCUGCAAAUAGAUCUUCUCUUAGUAAGCAGAACCAACAAAAGGAACUUAAGCAGCUAUGUGUAGUAUGAUCUUUCACAGACAGAAGAUACGUAGUGGGCACAUGAAUUUGAACAAUACAAUCAGCCACAGUUUUAUUGUCACACUACUUACCAAAUCCUGCCAACAUUGGUACAUUCCAGCGAUUUUUCGCUACCUGCUCUCCUUCAUACAACCAUGCCAAUUGCAAAACCCGAUCCGAAAGCACAUGGAUCAAAGUUCUCUAAGAUCUUUUGGUGUGAGAAGUUGAGAUAAGGGAAUCGCAAUGGAAACUUUCAUUGGAGCACCAAAGUGGCAUAAAAUCCUUCUGUCCAUCUUCAAAUCAGUAAACCAUAUCUUGUGCUGCUGGAUCUGGGUUUGUGGCAUGCAUGUAGAACCUUAGGUGGUUAAACAUAGACAGAUACCUGAGCUUCCUAUAUUUCAUAUUCUCAAUUCCAUGGGCACUUAAAAUUUUGUCAAUGUUCUCCACAUGGACAGCAGCAGGCAAGGUGGAUGACUGAUAAACCACAUUGUCAUAGCUGCAAAUUAAGUCAACCAGUGACCAAAAGGAGCUAUGCUUAUGUGGCUUGUUGGCAUGUGUCAUAGUUGAUCAGAUCUGACAACUCUCCAGGCUGCAAGGACACUGACUGAAAACAAACAUUGCAUAGUGGUUGAGUGACCAAUCCUCAAGCUGGAUCUUCUUCUUCCUUCAAAGCAGCUCCACCAAAUACUCCACCAUCACACCAUCACGAAAAUAAUAAUCAGUCUUCUGCUGCAUAUGCAGGAAGUACAAGGUGCCCUGAUAUACGGUACCAUAGACUGCAGCACAACUUGCAAUCCUGUUGAUGCUUCACCAGAGUUGUGCAGAACACUGAACACAAGAUCUGAACAUUCCACAUUGCCUUUUCUUCCCCCCUAGAUCACUGCGUAGGAAAUGAGGAUGACUAAUAACUUAUCCUUCAAUGCCAGAUCAACAGGAACUGAAAUGGCAACUUUCCAGAGAUGCAAAACUAAAGUUCCUCAAACUAACUUCACUAUCCAUCUGUGCAUUCCCAAUAGCUGCUUGGUUUUGUCUUGCACACCUCACAAGCGAUGCAUACAGAAUUACAGAUACAGGUCAGGUCCUCUUCCUCCUGGUAAUGUGCAGUGGUGUCAUGGACGGACCUUGGCCACUAUCAUUAUCUGACUUUCCAUAAGCCUUUAGAGUAGAACUAGAAUCCGUAUUUCUGUAUCAAUGAGAACUGCCAAACUCCAUAACCUGCAAGCACAACAGAAUCCAGAUUUGGUGACUCGGCAGGAGAAGAAUGACUCGAUUAUUCCUGACCUUGUAGAAGUCAGUAUAAAAAUUCCCUUACCUUGCAGCAUCCGGGACAGCUCCCGGGCUGGAGUUCGAGGCCCCAAUGGCGCAUUUGAGCGCGAUAGGGAAGGGGCGCAGCGGAUCUGACGGAGGGGGCAUGUAUCACGAGCUGCUACGGGACGGAUCGAACCAGGAUUCGAAUGCACCUGGAUGGCAACGAAGACGACGAGAGCCAGAAGGCCGGUGCGGCAGCGCAUGGGAAUGGGAUACGAGACUGCGGCCUGCGCCUGCGGCCCUAACCCGGCACUAGCCCGAUGUGGCCUGGCCCAACUAGGCCCGGGACUAUCAGUCACGAUGGCUUAUCCGUACCGGGCUGGGCCGGGUCGGCACUGCAUGCCGAACUGCCAGCCCAGGCCUGGUCCUAUGACCUUUUUGUUGUGCUGGGCCGGCCCGCUGGCACGACGGGCACUAUCGGGCUAGUGCCAGCCCAAGCACUGUAAGCUCCAGGGCGGCGACGAGUGGUGCGCCUCUCGGCCGCGCCGCAGUGGCCGGCGCGCCUCCCAAUCACGAGCGUGGACUCGUCGAUGGAGCGGCUGGCGCGCCCCCACGACAUCGGUGCCUGAUGUGCCCCCACGGCAACGGCGUCUGGUGCACCUCUUAGAAGGCUAGUCACGGGCACGGCGAUAGGCCGCCGGCGCAGCUCCUAGCAGGGAAGGGAGGGGGAGGGCAGGUGAAACGAACAAGGUUUUCAUUUCUGAUAAUCCGACUCCCUGUACCCUUGUGAUAGUAUUUGGAUCAGUAGCUAUCACGUACCGAACUUAUUUCAGCAUAAUAUCAUUUCCAUACAACGAAAUCAAAGUACAAAAUUUGAUAUUUACAUCCAAAUCAACUCGGAAUAUGAAUACACUACAUGCCCCUCAGGUUUAAGCGACAAACAAAACUCAUACGCAGCGGUAGCUAGGGCUUCAAGUCUUCAUCUUCGAUCUUCCCCAUCAACCCACCGGCAUCCUUGAGCGUAGCAACGCGACCCUUCCUUCAAGAAUUCUUCAUGAUCGUAGUUUUACUCCAAUCCAUACCUGCAUACUUAUGAACUGUCCCCAAGGAAUGGAAUAGGUCCACAUCACCAUCCGUAUGCAAGCUUUAAGUGACCUAAUUCUAGUAUUCAAAAGUAGACAAGGAGUUGGCUCAGGUUUCCUAUGUAGCAGCAAGCAUAAAGAUUAAACUUCCAUAUCCAUCAACCCAUCUCUCGUCACAUCGAGAACACCGGGCACCCUGGGGUCCCUAUCCCCAUUAUCCUACCUCCAUCACUAGAGUCAAUGCGAAAGCUCCCUCCUUUCGCAUCUCAACAAUUACAGCCGGAUCCUAAAGACAGAAGGGAGCAACUUCUCCUCUCCUCGACUGCAAUUGCAACUCACCACACUCAUAUAUAGCUAAUAGGAAAGGUAGAAAUAUCCCAUAACAAUGGAGAGUCGUGAUGUCACAAGGUUGUCCAUGACCGAGGACGCGGCUAUACGUAUAGUUUUAACUCUGCAGAGUAUGUACACCUGAACCCAUCUUGGAGUGAGACAACCGGUGAUCAGCCGACUGAACAUCACUCUACCGAGUGAAGAACUUGGGAGUUACGAUACCAUCCUGCAUCCGGGCUUGGAUGUGAUCCCCCGCAGUGGACCAUCCUGGAACUAUGAAGCACUCCCACCGGGGCCAAUCGGGGGUAAAAGAAAAUCAUGAGGCUAAAGGUCAACACCACUCCCCCUACACUGAUACUCUAUCCUACGACAGGUAUGGUACCACACUUGCUAGUUUCGACUCGGGCCUAAACACAUAAUUUAGCGAGUGGUGUGCACGUUUAAUAUAUUCCUGUGAAGCAUGGUGACCCACUCGGUUUUAGAUCGGAGCGAGCUCCUAACUUCCUCAAAGCGACUCCACCACAUGGACCGCAACGGUACCCAUAAUAGGUAUCACCACCAACUCCUAUGCUCCUCAAUCAUGUACUCGCAAUAAGUACCAAACAGGAAAUGUUCGAGAACAGACCCCAAGCCCCCAAUCCAAAGAUUGGGUUGUGUAAAGCUGACCCCAUCAGAUAUCCCAAAAACUCCUUUUCCUGGUUUUAACCACACACACGCUAAGAAUCCUAUUCACGAUAUCCCAUACACAUGCAAGCGUCACACAUAGCAUAUAUAUAAGCAAUAGGGUAGUAGGUUACACAAGGAUUCAAGAUAUAAAAUAGGCUAUGCAUGGUUUAUCAUCAUAUGAAGAAUUAAAGUGUUAGCAUACUAGUAGCAAUGCCUAAUGGGUAUUCAAAUUGAAUGGGCGUGAACCUGGAGUUGCUUUCUUCCUCGUAGUGGUUCUUGAACGGCUCCGACUCCAGCUUCAGCUCCGAGUCUCCGACAAGUCCUAAUUACACGAUUACCAUAAUUACAGGGGUCUAUUUGCAAAUAAAAUCCAAAAGAGAUCCAUAGAAAACCCAAACAAGAACAAGGACUAGUCUAUCGUGUUCUUCAUAUUUUUAGAAAAUUAUGAAACUAGUUUCAUAAUUUUUGGAGUUAAGAUGAAUUAGUCAUGAAUUAGCGUAGUGUGUGCUAGGCUGCGUUCUAGGGGCCAAAAACAUGCACUUUGGCACGCGGAUGCUACACCGCGGCCACGCAAGUACUUAGGCCCCUCUUGCGGGCUCUACUGGCGGCGGACAGACAUGGCGUCACCGGCAGCGGCGGCAGCACGUCGGGGAACGGCUAGACACAGCGGGCGAGGGCGAUUAGUUCGCGGUUGGGCCAAGAGUGGCGAGGCAAAGGCUGCGCAUUGGGGUUUUCCUAGGGGCUGCGGCGGUCGCACGGUGGCGCGCCCAAAGGCGAGUUCGCGGCGAGCGCUUGGUGUGCGCGUGGCGGUGGCAAGGCAUGGCUGGGCGAAGGCACCUGCACAGGACGUGGCUCGAUGGCCGAACAGAGGCGGCGCGCGGUGGCAUGGCUAGGCGAGCGCGCAGGUCCGCGUAUGUCCACAGCCGUAGCCUUGGCUUCGGUGACGGGCGACGGCACAGAGCAGGGCAAGGCCUCACCUUGGAGGCUCGGUGGCGGGCAUGGUGCGGUGGUGAGGCGAGGCCGCGCAGGUUGAGGCCGUGCAGGGCGCACAGGGAUGUCGAUGUAGUCGUACAGGGCACCGGCUUGGCAACAGCAGCAUCACGAACGGCUCCAGGCGGCGGCGGCUCCCCUCCUCUGCUCCGGUUCCUCCCCUUCCCCCUUCUCCCUUUGUUUGGUGGUGGCGGUGGAUGGGGAAACCCCUAGGGCAAGUGGCUGGCUAGAACAGGGCAAGCGGAGGGGUUUUAAAGUGCUGAGGCUAAGGUUUGGGGGUGCCGGGGUUUAGGUGGACGGCUGGCGAUCUUCGAGAUGUGCGUAGGAGCGGCGUGGCGUGCAUCGGAUUGCUCCUAGGGUGCGGGUUGGUGCGUGCUGAGGUCACGGGUACGGCGCGGGGUUCUGGAAUGCUCCCACGGCUCCCUUGUCGCGGAGCGGGAGCAGCGCGGUACGGGACGGCGGCAGAGCAGGGCAUCAGCGGGAGAGGCGCGAGGUGGAAGGGAAAGCUGACAGGUGGGACCCACUUGUCGGUGAGAGCGAGAGAAAGCGGCGCGGGGCAGGCGUAGGCGGGCAAGCUGGCCGGUUGGGCCGAGUGUUGGGCUAGGGAGCCGUGCUAGCUUCGGUCUAGGCGAGGGGUAUUAGCAGGCCGGCGAGGUGAAGAAAGUCGGCGGGGUUCAUGGGCCGAGGGGUGGUUUCGGCUCAAGUUAGAGUAGGAGUUUAGUUUGUUUUUGAUUUCCAAUUCAAAUUUGAAUUCACCCAAAUAAAAUCCAAUUAAAACCAAAUAAAAAUCCAACUCAUUCAUGCGAGGUUCAUGACUAAAUAUUUUUAGUGCACAAAUUUUUUUACUAGAGAUUUUGGGAAGGAGAAAUUGUAGCCUUAAUUUGCAAUUUACUUUCAUGGGUCACAGAAUUCAAACAAAUUUUUUUGAAAUUUCACUUUUCGCAAAAACAAUCAUCCUACUAAUUUUGCGGGAUGUUACAGCAAGGGCGGCGACCACCUGUGGGGACGGCGACCAGCAGGGGAGGGAGGGGCGGUGCGUGUGAGGAGAGGAAGGAGGGGUAGUGCGCGUGAGCAAGGGAGGAAGGUGGGAGGGGCGGCUGGUAGGCGGGGGGAGGGGAGAAAUGAAAGGAUAAGAGUUAGGGUUUCUGCAUUUAUAUGGAUUGCUAGUAGGUAGGUUAGGCUGCAUCGUGCCGGGCCUGGGCUGGCGCUACGUGCGGAAUGGCGGCCCAAGCAUUGCCCAAUGCAUAGUGCCGGGCUAGCACGAGCACUAUUCGUCUCGUAACGGGCCGUGUUAGUGCUAGGCCUCGGGCCACCCAGUGGCCUGGCCCAUCUAGCCAUCUAUACAUGCGUCGCUGGUGGUGGAUAACGCAACAAGUCAACAAUGACUCAUUUGUUUGUUUAGAGAUUUUUUAAUUAGAAUAAGUUAAAAACAUUUUGAGGUCCAUGGUUUAGAAGAAAUAUUAUACUCCCUCUAUCCCAAAUUAUAGAUUAUUUUGGCUUAUGCAUCUAGAUAUUGGGUAUAUCUUAAGUGCAUAACAAACUCUAUGAAUCUAAAAAAGUCAAAACGACCUAUAAUUUGAUACGGAGGGAAUAAUUAAAUAGGCAGAUGUAUUUUUUAUUUGUAAUAUCUUGAUUAGCUUUUGUCAAAAUUUGAAGAUUGAGUUUUAGUAUGACUUAUCUACUAGACCAUUACUUAACUUAGGUACCUUUGGUUUCUUCACUGAAUACUGUGUUACCUUGCCGAGUGAGAAUGCACCAAGAGCGCCUUCGGUUAGUAGUUGAGUAGUUGGGUUCCAUGUUUCUACUAACUGAACUUAUCUCAGUUUGGUUCAACCCCUCGGUUAACCGAACUAACCACAGUAUGUAGUAAGGUCCAAUAACGAAUACUUUCAGCCUAGCCCAAUAGCCUUCCUAGCCCUACGUAUAUAACCUCCACAUCACUCUCCACUCCUCAGUCAAUCUCCCACCCCACCCGCCCACCCCUGACCCUAUCAUCCACUCGUCUUCAUCACAUCUAGGUGUGAGGCGGCCACCCCCAGCACCCGGUCACCCACCCAUCGGUGUCGUAAGGUGCCUAGAGCUCGGCUGGGCGCAACCUCGCUCCUCUCCAACAAUGGCGACGGCAGGCAAGGGGGUAGCCCGGAACACGGGCCGAGUGAGCCGGCGAGGCGGCGACCGACAACCGAAGCACCGCGCCUUCACAACCCCGCUCCACUCGGACAUCAACCUUCGACAGACUCCACUCCUGCAUCCCCUCUAAGCUCCAUUCGGCACGCCCCCUCCCCUUUGAGGCUCUAACAAGGAACCGUCGGCCGACCGCCCAUCCUUGGCUCCUGCUCAAGCUGUCGACAGCCGAAAUCCUACCAAAAUUUUCUCUUGAGCCUGCUAUUUCAUUGCCUGUGCAGGCCAGUCAGUUAGUUCAGUUAAUAACAGCUCGGUUCUUAUUUUGGGUUAGGAACCGAACGGUUCCUAUUUUAUGAGAACCGAAGAACCGAUCAGUUCGGUUUGGUUCAGUUUAACCAAAUGCCUAGGGCUACGAGCACAGUGUUUGGUUGAGCUAAAUCAACUCGUCUGUUCAAGUGAACUCCACAUUGCCCACGCGAGUAAAGCAAGGCUAGGCUAGGUGAGGAAAGCUCGAGAACCUAACAUUCUCUUAGUAUACAUGUUUCAAACUGAGAAAUUUUUACUAUAAGUAAUGAUGAGCUAAAGUCAUCUUUUUUUUUACAAUUAGCAUCAAAUUAGUAAAGGAUUUGUGAGUGGUGGCCUCCAAACUCAUGUUCAGUUUGCAACGAAAUUGUCGUUACCCUAACACAAAAGAUAUUUGUAAGCCUCUACCUUCAAUCUACAUUUCCUCCCUCCAGUUACCAACCAAACGCACUAUUUUCUCUAUUUUUCCUUUCUAAAAUAAUAAUCAACUUUAUACGGUACAUUAUGCUAUUGCAAUGGUCAUUUAAUCCUAAUUAUAAGAACCUCUAAGGAGGGAGGGAGGGAGGGAGAGGGGGAAGAGAGGGAGAAAGAAAGGGAGGGUGGGAAGGGAUCAUGAAUGUCCCACUGCAUUGGGUUGUAUAGAUUCUUAGUAGACUAUCUUUCUCAUCUAUGGCUGGCUACUCAACAAAUCAUGGAUCUAGGCAAGACCUAAGGGUGUGUUUGGUUAGUGGGUUGGAACGGGUCGGACCUAGAUGGACCCAUGUUUGGUUCAAAAAUGAGGUGGGUUGGGUUCAUCUCCAUAGGGAAUAUACCCCUCAGAUCCGGGUUGAGAUGGUCUGCCCAAAUCGAGCGGACCAUCUCAACCCAUUUCAACAUCAUCGCUCUCAAUGCGCGCCUGGAGCCCUACGCUGCCGGCCGGGCGAGCUCGAGCCCCGCAGCCGCCAGUCGAGCUUGAUCCCUACCGCCGUCGGCCGGGUGAGCUCGAGUCCCGUUGCCGCCUGACGAGCUCGAGCCCCGCUGUGGCUGGGCAAGCUCGAUCUCCGCCGCCGUCGAGUAGGACAUGGGGAGGGGGCACUAGCGUUGUGGGGAGGAAGGGGCCGGGCGGCACAAGAGGGAGGGGGCGGCGGCCGGCGGCCGGCGCACCUGUGCAGUGAAUGUCAGUGUUUUAUACCCGACAACCUACCGAGGGGUAUCCCAAGGUAGUAGAUUGGUUGGUGGGGGAUUGCCAGACCUAGAACUCAAAGGUAAAAGCGAGGAUACAAGAAAUGGAUUUAUACAGGUUCGGGCCGCCUGAGUAUCGUAAUACCCUACGUUCUAUUUGGGGUGUUGUAUGUUGCGCCCUGCGCUUGGGUGUUGAGGUAUGAGGAUUUGGUCCUCUGUUGUCUCCCUUGCUCAUCUAGGUACCCCUUCCCUCCUUUAUAUACUCUAGGGGGCGGGAUAACUAGUCGGUUACAAGGAGGAGUCCUAGUAGGAUUACGUGGUAUGAGUCCUAGUAGGAUUAUAGAGGAAUCCAAGUAGGAGUUCGUCUUCUUCCUUCCUUGCGGGUACUGGGGAUCUAUCCCCGACAAGCCCCCGAGUGCUUCAUAGUCGAAUGCAGUAGUCUUCAAGUACUUUUCAAAUUCUCGCCGAGUAGUUUUGGUGCACUUCGAGUACUUUGUCUGGCUGAAUCUUUAAAGUUCCUCAAAGCUGUCGUGAGGCUAUGGUGUGCUCAAGCCUUGUUCAUCUCAAUAUUGUAGUCUUCAUAUAUGGAGGGCGGCGAAAGUCGCACUCCAUAUGGAGUAGCCCUCGAGCCUUAGGUUGAAUUGAAGAAUUAGGCUGAGGUCAAUAAAAUCUUGAAUCUUCUUCUUUCGUCUUGAAAAAACUCAACUGAUGGGUGUAGCUUAUCAGCCCUCAAGCCUUGGAUUGAUUGAAUAAUCAAUCCAAGGGUAGCUUAGCCUUCACACAAGUCAUCAUCCGAGUAGUUUUGCGGCGUCUAGCCCCCAAGCUUGUGUACCAGGUGAGCCGUAGGAGCCAUGUCAAGUAGUUAUUGGUGCUUAGCCCCCGAGUUUGGAAACUAGCUGAGCCACUGGAAGUAUUUUCGAGUAGUAAUUGGCGCUUAGCCCUCGAGCCUGGGAGCUAGCGGAGCCAUUGGAGUUACGCUGAGCAUCCUGGAGAGUCGUCGCUGAAGCUUGGCCUGCAAAAAGAGAUGCAUACAUUAUGUAGCAUAUUUGUAGAAUUUAGAACUACUAAAAUUUAUUCAAUGAUGAAUAUAAAUGUUGUGUGUCAUGCUCUUGUUUCGGUCAUAUUUCUCCUGAGUAGUUAGCCUUUUACGUUUAGGCUCUCAUUAUCUAUUUAGCCGUAGCCACUGCUUGGCGAGAUCUUUGUCUCUUGUACGCGUACGGGCGCUGCCGUUUGCACAGCUGAGAUCUUUGUCUCGUGUAUGUGUGCUAGCAUUUAGGCAUGACAGAUGAUCCGAGGCUUUCACGAAUUAAGGCAUGUUCUGCUUGAGAAGAUUAGUGACCUCAAGAGAAGAAAAAAAUGAUUAGUUCGUAUUGCGACAAAAGAGACUGCGCGAUUGUGUGUAAGAGUUUGCUGCCCUCCGGCGAAUAAAGCGCGUGUUGUACGCAAGAGUUUGUUGCCCUCCUGCGAAUAGAGCGUGUGUUGUGCGCAUAAGAUUUGUGCGUCCUUAGGGUGUUGCCGUUGUGAGCCUCCAGUAUUUAGUGCAUCAAAUCUCUGGCAAUCGACUCCAAAAUUCAAUGUACCAAACCUGUGGCAGUGCCUCCACAACUCAGUGCACCAAACCCGUGACCGUAGCCUCCGUAAUUUUAUAUACCAAGCCUGUGGCUGUCGGUCAACAUGCCAUAGGAAUAGUUGACAAAUUGUAGCUCUGGAGGGUAAUUACUGUCGAAAGACAUACACAAAGAAGUAGUCGGCACGUUGCCCUGCAUACGGAAAACAAGCCGAAAAUUUAUAUAAAAUUAAAAAGUGACUUAGCUUGAUUCGUGGACGAUCAUCGAUGAAGCCAUGUCAAUUGUUGAUGAACCCAACUAGUCGGAAUCGAUUCCGACUAGUUGUCUGUCACGUUGAAUCCGCCCUCGACUAAUUUUCUAGUCGAGACGAGUAGUCGAAGUAGUCUGUCCUCGACUAGUUUUCUAGUUGAGAUGAGUAGUCGAAGUAGUCGAUGGUGUGAAGUCUGCCCCGACUAGUUUUCCAGUCGAGAUGAGUAGUCGAAGUAGUCAUCGGCGAGCGUCACGACGUAUUUGAAGUAGUCGUUGGCGAGCUGGCAUAGCGAUCUUGCUCCUUACUAAAACAGAGGCAGUAGUCACUCUGCUUCAUCUUCAUGCACGUAAUUAGGAGAUUCUAGCAUCGAUCCUGUAGCUGAUUUGAUCUUACACGUGCUGCAACUUUGGUUGGAAAUCGACGCAGCAAUCCGUUUGAGGUUCAAGUUCGAUUUCGAUUUGCACUCGGUCUUGGAGUAUGCUGACUCUGUAUCGAACUUGACGAUGUACGUGAGUCAGUGAUUGCUUCUUCCGCGAGUUCUCACGACGGCGCAAUCGUGGAAAUCAGAUUGGACAGGAACACGAAGUCGCUUGGAUCCGCCUUGGAGUUGAUGCACUUGCAGCGCAGCAGACUCUGAGACAGAAAAGGAUUCAUGUUGGUCCUGCCUCGGAAAUCGAUCCAAAAACCUUUGCAGAAUUGCUCUCCACCUAGCACCUACGCGAACUUUCUUUUUCUUUUUCGGCCAACGAUGAUGGCAGCGAAUUUGCUGGCGAUGAUGGCGGCGAAUCUGUUGGCAAUGGAUGUUGAUUUUGUCUGCUCCGAUCUUCAACUCGAUGAAUUGAUCUAUUGAUUCAUCUGCACAGAGUGCCAACACAUCGCGCCGAGUAGAUUGAUCUUUAGAAUAGGUCCUUCAAACUUGCCCGAUGAUCUCGACGAUCACCUCUACCUGGUGCGCUAGAUGUCGGUGUUUUAUACCCGGCAACCUACCAAGGGGUAUCCUGAGGUAGUAGAUUGGUUGGUGGGGGAUCAUCAGACCUGGAACUCGAAGGUAAAAGCGAGGAUACAAGACACGGAUUUAUGCAGGUUCGGUCUACCAGAGUAGCGUAGUACUCUACGUCCUGUUUGGGGUGUUGUAUAUUGCGCCCUACACUUGUAUGUUGAGGUAUGAGGAUUUGGUCCUCUGUAGUCUCCCUUGCUCAUCCAGGUACCCCUGCCCUCCUUUAUAUACUCCAGGGGGCGGGAUAACUAGUCGGUUACAAGGAGUAGUCCUAGUAGGAUUACGUGGUAUGAGUCCUAGUAGGAUUACAGAGGAAUCCUAGUAGGAGUCCGUCUUCUUCCUUCCUUGCGGGUACUAGGGAUCUAUCCCCGAUAGUGAAGAAGGAGGGGCACAGAGGAGAUGGAGGGGUGGCGCUCGGGUGGAGCUUGAGCUCCUCCAGGCCGGCGGCUGGGAGGUAGCCGCCGCGGGGGCGGGGAGGUGGCGGCCGGUGGCGGGGAGGAGGCCAGCCCACGGGCGGGGAGGUGGCCGGCGCGCCAGGGGCAGCUAGCAGGAGGUGGCCGGGUGCGGGGGCCGGGUGAAGAAGGUGGAGGAAGAAGAUAAGGUGGCUGACAGGUGGGGUCCACAACUGAUAGGUGGGACCUGAUGCUAAUGGUGUUAAAAUGGUAUCUAUUUCAUCCCUCUCAACCCCUUCAACCAAACAAAAGAUUGGAACAAACCCAUCCCUCUCCAUCCCUCUCAUCCGAACACGAGAUGGGUCGAUUCCAACCAACAAAAAGGGGUCAGCUCCGACCCAACCCACGUUGUCCCAAAAUCAAACACAUGCUAAGAAUACUAUGGACUAGCACUUAUAUAACAAAAUUUAACCAAACUGCAACUAGUAGAAGGCAACUAAUUUAUGUUGUAGAUAUAUUUUGUUCAUGCCAAGAAAAGGUGCCUAUUGUACUUAGUAAAAGAAAAAAGUAUGCUUUUGGGAAUUUGCUGCAGUACUUAAGUUCAGAUGCUCUGCAUCAACAGAGUGAACACAAAGUUCAGAUUAGGAUGGGCCUAACUUGUUGCUUGGAUGACUAGCUGAACUAGUUGCUAUUUGCUAACCCAUGCAUUUGCACAGGUAGACUGAUACAUGUUUUUUUAUAGUGCUAAGAUUCACAAGGAAUGAGCAUAUACCCACGUUAUUGAGGUCGUAUGCAUCUCUAUAUAAUAAUUCCUAUAAUAUCUAACUGAUGCAUACGUGUGUUGAGUGGUGAGAGCAUGGUGUGGAUAGAGUGUGAGAUUUUUCUUUUUUUUCUUUUUGAAAGGAAUGUGGCAACAAAGUAUAGCUAAUUUUUUUACUCUACUUUCUCGCCACAUUUGGGAUUCACUUAAACACAAUGCAAGAGGGCAAACAAAUAACUUGACAAAUCUUCUGGUUUACUCAGGGUGUGUUUGGUUGCAUGCACACAUGAUGCCUGCAUGGAUGAUCCUGCAUAGGAUAGUUCAAUCAAUUUGCUUGUACCAUAUGAUUCAUUUUAAUUAAUAGAAUAAUGUAUUAAGUGGGAUGGCCUCAUCCUGGAUGAGUUGGUACAAUUUACCCAAUCAAACAAAAUGAUCAUUAUUAUUUUGAAUCAUUUCAUACAUGAAUCAAAUGAUACAACCAACCAAACACACCUUAUUUUAUAGACUAUCCAAACUCGUGCUACCUCAUAGAAAUUAAGUGGCACUACAAAACAAACAACUGGUGCGUUGGACCACAACCACCUGGAUCUGUCAUCAUAGGUGUUCAUUCCAAAAGAAACACCUGGAUCAACAUCUUUAAAAGAAAAUAGAUUGCUGUUGCUGACAGUGUAUAUAAUGAAGCAGUCAACAUGACGAUUGAUGAAUAGUCUAUAUAUAGCCCCAUAUAAAUGCUGGUUAUGGUAACUGGCAAAUACAAUAUGUGGGUUGUUCUGUGACAAUAUAAUUUACCACACAAGUACAAAACUACAUAACCAUGUGAAUGAAUAAGAAAAUAAAGCAAAUCUGUCCGAGUAUAACAAAUAGCCGGUAAAAAAAAUGGCAAUUUGCGAAACUGCUCAUAUAAUAAGGAAUAAAUUUACUGAGAAGUAACCACAUUAACAUCCAGCAAGGAGCGUCAUCUUCCUCCCGAGAGACCAGACAUAGUGCCAACGCUUGAUUGAUGGGAUAUGAUCAUGACUGUGUCUAACCCUGCUUUACAUGCUACAUCCAUUGGUACAAACUCAGGAACAGGAUGCUGGCCUUCAAGGUACAUCAUGACUUGUUGCAUGCUGGGUCUUGCAUUUGGCAAUGGAUGUGAGCACCACAGUCCCAAUCUGAGCACUACACAUGCCUCAUCAACAUUGUAGUCACUUUGGAGCCUCCUAUCCACUGCCUCCAUGAGUGACCCAUUGCGCCAAUGCUCAGUCAGCCAAUCCACCAAUAUGAACGGGGUGGUGUCUUGUGCUCUUCCCUCAAUGGGCCUUCUUCCACAGGCAAUUUCAAGGAGGAGUAUGCCAAAAGCGAACACAUCAGUUAGAGGGGAUGCUUUACCUGUACGUGCUAACUCCGGAGCUAUAUAACCGAAAGUGCCAGCCAUGCGUGUGGUUUGGGGAUCUGUUCCAUGGUUGUAUAACCUCGCCAAACCAAAAUCACCAAGCCUCCCAUUCAUAUCUCUGUCAAGGAGCACAUUGCUUGCCUUGAUAUCUCGAUGGAUGACAACUUGUUCCCAGUAUUCAUGAAGGUAGAGAAGGCCUGAUGCUGUACCUUUUAUGAUCUGGAACCUCUCGUGCCAACCUACACAACGCCUAUCAUCACUAGUAUAUAAGUACUUGUCAAGACUACCGUUUGGCAUGUACUCAUAGACCAACAUGAGCUCUCCUUUACGUCGACAAUAGCCAAGCAAUUGAACGAUAUUUCUAUGUCGCAGGCGACCAAUGCUAACAACCUCGGCAAUGAACUCUCUCAUGCCUUGCCUUGACUCAUGGGACACCCUCUUCACUGCAACCUCCGUCUUAGAUGUUGUAAGUACUCCCUUGUACACCUGCCCAAAUCCCCCUCUACCGAUAAGAUGCUUGUUCUUGAAUCCCUCUGUAGCUUGGAACAAAUUCUUGUAUGAGAACCUAUGAGGUCCAUACUCAAUUUCCCAAUCUUCCAAAAGAUCAGCACGCUGCAAUCGCCGCCUCUGUAUAAGUAGAAAGAUGGUGGCGCCCAUUGUAAGGAAGAAGGUGGUGAUAACUAUUGGCAAAACAAUCUCCAUGACCUUGGACUGAACCUUCAACUCAACACGAGGAAGCUUUGGUAGUCUGGCCAUGUCGAUAGCUGGAGCAGGUCCUCCCAUGCCAAAGCUCAGACCGAGUACGUAAUGUUCUGUUCUAGUAGCGAUGCCUGUUGAGGCUGAAAAACCUACAUAAGCUGUCUCGGUAAGUACUGUUGACAGGUCGUAUGUGGUUGAUAUCAGUGGAAUUAUGGGUUUAGCGGUACUGAGGGGUGCAAUUGUCACAUUAAUCCGGUUAGUCUCUCCAUCAUAGUCCACCCACACUUGCAUUGCCUCAUGGCUACUAAGGGACAGUUGCACAAUACGGUUAUUUUUAUCAAAGAAAUAGGGUGCAACAGAUUCAAUGGAGUGGAGACUGUUGAUGUCAAUUCCAACAUGGUUGUCGUUGAUGUCUUCGAACUCGUAACUAAGGACAGUAUCGAGCUCAACAGCAAAGAGAUGAUUUCUCGGAUCACCAAUGUUAGCCGCACUGGUGAGUCCUAGGUACUGGCUCGAAAGUGCAUCUGAAAAAUUCUUGCUUGGGGCAAUAAAGAAGGCCAUACCAUGUCUGCUGCGAUUGGGAGCGUCCGAGAUGAUGCCAAACACGAAGGUGACUGAGAAGGAUUUAACUGUGUUGUUUCGGGAUUUGUAGAAGCGCAACGGAGUUGGGUAGAACGCAUGCCCUUUGAGCCGGUCCGUUCCAUUGGUAAGCUUCAGAAGUCCACUUGGUGUGACUGUGGCCUCGCCGUCGAUGGUGAAGUUACUACCGGUGAAGCCGCUGUAGACAAAUUGGUCAUCACCGGCGCCAUAGGAGACUGCCAGUGCAAGGCCAAGGAAGAGGAGGCACAUACGCUUCAUGUCUAGCUUGGGUGUGGGCUAUAACAUGGCAAUCGCAGCAAGGAUGCAGGAAAGAAGCAUGCCGAAGGUCAUACAAGAGCCUGCCGGCUCGCGCGUGGUAGACUAAUAAUGUAUUGUUAUCUUUGCAGCAUGAGUGAACGUCACAGUCUUGAGUUGUUGAACGUCACAGUCGUGGUAGACUAAUAUAUACUUUCAGAAUAGAAGAAAAAUUUAACUGCAUGUGAUUCUUCACCCAACGUUUUUCAAAUUGAUAAAUCUUUAGUGGCGGAGCAUUUGGUUGUUUCAAAAUAUAUAGACCUUCGAUGUACUUUAUAUCUGGGUUUAUUUUAAAGAAAAAACUUUAUAGCACAAAAUCCAUCGCAUUUCAAGUUCUAAUCUUAGCAGCUCAACACAUGAUUUUUUAAACCUUUAGUGUGCUCUAACUAAAAUCUGUGACCCUAUCUGGGAAAGAACCCGGCCAUCUUCCAAUGUCCAGUUCAACACAUGGACUUUUUCCAAAUCUUUUUGGGAAAAAAACCUGGUCCUUUCGUUGCUUAACCAAAUAUUAACUAGUCCCCUCUUGAUGUCGCCAGUCAACGGUAGACCGACGUGUUAGACCCGUUGGUUUCUCAUGCCAAUCAAAAAGGUAACAGGAAAAGUCGCCAUGAGCUGUUGCGAUUGCAACCUGCAGAGAACGCGGUGGUCCUGGUUGUGCCUCACCGGUGGAAAACUGAGCUUUAACACAUAGCUCUCGAAACUCUAACCGGAACUAAUUAUUCGAGACUAAAGAUCCACAUUUUUAGUCCCGGAUAUUUCAUCCAGGACUAAAGAUUUUCUUUAGUCCCGGUUGGUAACACCAAUCGGGGCUAAAAAGGUUAAAAAAUUAAAAAAAAUGGGAUGCACGGCCCCGGCCGCUCGUGCCCCUACCGCCGCGCUCCUGCCGCAGGUCGCGCGCCGCUCCAUGGUCUUGGCCACGGCCACCAGCGCCCCGCGUAGUAGGCCGGUCACGGGAGACGGUCCUAGCCGCCGAGUGCCCCGCCGCUCGCGCAGCCAGCCCGAGCUAGCUCGCCCGCCACGUGCCCCGCCCGCGCCGGUUCGCCGUGCCGACCCUGCGCCGACCGCCCACCCGCUCGCCUGGAAAGAAGGGAGAGGAGAUAAGAAGAAGAGCGCUGCCUGCGCGAGAUAAGGGAGAAAGAGGGAGGAGGAGGAGAAGAUAAGGUGGAGAGAGAGGGGGCCAUGUGAAAAAGAGCUUUUUAGUCUUGGUUGGAGCCAAUUACCAACCGGGACUAAAUCUUUAGUCCCGGUUGGUAAUUCCAACUGGGACGAAAGGAAGCUUUUUAGUCCUGAUUGAUAUUACCAACCGGAACUAAAGCUCUCAUCAGUGGUGGCCGUUGACUCGGGACUAAAGGUCCUUUAAUCCCGGAUCAAAAAAUGAUGGGGACUAAAAACGCUGGACGGAAGGUCUCUUCUCUGCUGGUGCUUGAAAGGGCCGGUACUAGUUGUCCUUGGAGUUACUUAGCUUUCGUUUCGCACAAUCUGACAAGAAUCAGCCAUCAAGCCACCUGGUUGGUACUCACCAUCAACUGAUGCGUGAAGUGAAGGAAUACACAAAAUGCGUCAUACGCAAAUUCCAAUUUUCAACCUUGUGAAGGCCAUUUAAAACUGCAUGACCCUACUACUGUACAUGCAUGUAGGUUUAGGAGCCCGCGGUGAUAGACCCAUGUGGAGUAGUGAUGUAUGCAGCUCCUAAUUAACUGAAUGGCUGGAAAACUCUCACAAUGUUUUGGUGGUUCCAUAGGAGUUGAAACAUUUUCACUUCCUUCCCAAAUCUUGAAUUGAAGUCAUCUCAUCAAAUUGUUUAUGCUUCAAAAGGAAACUGUAACACCCUAAAUUUCCAAUUUUGCAACUGAAUAAAAUUUAUUAGAAUUUUCUAGAAUUUAUUUGAGCUUGGUUAAGGACUUAAGGAUUUUCUAAGGUUUAUUUGAUUUCCUAGGCAUUUAAAUAUUUUUCUGAAAUUUAAUUAAUGAAUCAUAGGUUUGCAUUGUUGCAUUUAGGCUGGUGCAAUGAUUUAGGUUGCUAAGUUCAAAUUUCAGAUUUGAAUUCAUUGUUUGAAUCUCUUUUGAAAAUGGGAAAAAUUCCUCUUUUUCUUCUUUUCUUCUUCCAGCUCGGGCUUCUUCUUCUAGUCCGGCCAACCUUCUUCUUCUAGCCUACUGGCAACAGCCAGCCCGCCAGCAGCAGCAAGCACAGCACAGUAGCAAGUCGGCAGCCCAGUGCAGCUCGGCCCAGCAGCUGCUCCGCGCGCGACGCCAAUGGUGCCCCUCCUGAGUGCGCCACUGCCAAGUCACUAACGGAUGGACCCCACAUGUCAUCACCAUCCUCCCCUCACGCUACAUCCGACUUGAACCUGAGUCCUUACCGCACCCCGGUCCACCUCCGAUUCGUGGCAUGCAAGCCGAGGUUCGUCGCCCCUAUUUAAACCCCGAGCCAACCCUCCACAGUCCCCUUUCGCCAAAAACCUAGCGCAUGCCAAAGCCUGUAGCCGCCGCUAGCUAAACCUAGCCGCUCGCCUCGUCGCCAUCGAUCUGCGCCUCUGCCGCCUUCCCAUCACUGUGAGCCCCACCCAGAGCUUCGCAUUGUGGUAAGGAAGCCCCAAGUGCUUCCUUCUCCUGCUCGUUUCCAUGGCCUCCCUUGGGGGUUGUAGCGCGCUAGAGCCGCCCGUUCCCCAACUUCCGUUCAAUCGCUGUAGCGACCUCAGCCGCCCCUGGGAUCGCCCUAGCUUGCUUCGUGUCGCUUCCAGCUUGCUCCCGAGCUAGUUCUCGUAGUUUUUGGUAGCCGAAACCUCAAGUUCAAGCAACCUCCGCCGAGCGCCGCCAGCCAUCCGAUCUGGUCGGGAUGGCUCAGAUCGGGUCUGACCGGAGUCAACCCAUCAAGCGUAGCAGUCAACUGCCGGUCAACUGUGCCGCUUUUGCUUAAGAGCUCCUGUAGUUUCUUGUUUUGCACCUGAGGUCCUGCGUAAUUCAAAAGUAAUUAGAUUUAGAUCCUUAUCCUUCUGUUUUAGCCCCUAGAAGCUCUGUUUUCUUGUGGACAAGUCCAUGAAUCUUGUUUAGCUUAUAUCUUUAGCGUUUUAAAUCCAAUUUGAGUGAUUCUUGCGCCUAUGAGUUCGUGUCGAUGCAAACAACAAUUUUAUGAUCUUGUUUUUCUCUAUUGCUACUGUUUGGUAUAUUGUUUUCUUAUUUUAUUCUUUUGUGUGCUUCUAUGUACUUGUUUGAUGCGCAUAGAAGGAUCGCAGUUCGAGGGAUUCGAAGACCAAGCCUUUGAAGACUUCAGUAAGCGCCAGUUCAGGAAGGCAAGUCGUGUUCUUGAUCACAAUUUGGACCUAUGCAACCUUUACUUUUAUGUUCAAUAUACACAUGUUAUGCACUUUAUGCUUGUAAAUAUGAUGGGUCCUAUUUAAGGUUUGCUUAGCUUUAUCCUUAAACCUUGAACAACCUGGGUUUUACUUUAUGUUGGGUAGUACUUGCUUAGUUGCUCAACUUGGGUAUGGUGGUCUUAACUUGUUUUAUUUAUACUAUACCUUUCAUCAAUGCAAGAUCACCAUGCUUAAUUGGAACAUGGAAUGACAACAUAGGAAAACAGUGCAACCACAAGACUAACGGACUCUGGUCUUGACUAAUUAAUUAGAAACUCUAGUAUGUAAUAGCUUUACCUGAAAGGGGCAAGAGGGGGAGACAAUAGUUGGUGUAUAGCCCGACCCUCAAACUGAUCUACUCUAUGGUAACUUCGCAGUUUGAAAGAAGUUUAUGCAUUGCAUUGAUCAUGAAACCUUAGCGAGUUAUCCUUAUUAGGGAAUCUUUGUAAAAGCCUCGUAGUGAUUCCCAUGCCACUCACCUCGGAAGUGUUUAAGAGAGUAAUUAACCCGGGCAUUUUAGGAAACACGACUUGUGGGUAAAGAUGUACAACCUCUGCAGAGUGUCUAAAACUGAUCGAUCAGUCAUGCUCACGGUCAAGAGCGGCCUGGACUCUCGCAUGAUUAAUUUAUUGGAAGUUGAAUAAAACAUUGUUUAUUUAUAUCAUUUAUUGUUGUUUUAUUUAUUUAUGCUCAUGCUUAACGUGGGUGGUAGUAUAAACUUAUAGUAAUGGCUAAUAAAACUUGACUAACUAAUAAAAUGCUUACAUGCUAUUAAACCUUAGCCUAUCCUUGCAUAGCCUUACACUACACAUUCCCCACGCUUGUUGAGUACCAACCAUAAGUGUACUCACUCUUGCUAAAACCGCUACUCAGACCAAGAAAAUGUUGAGGAGGUUCUUGAAGACUUUGAGAAGUUCUAGGUGUACGUGUGCCACCAGUCAACUGCCUGUGGAGUCAUCGUCAUUUUUGGAGUUCCGCUGCUAGAAUAACUACUCGUUUUGCUAUUCGAUUUAAAAACUUUUGGUCUUGUAAUAAAUUUAAUACUCUUUUUACGCUUUGGCACUGUUUAUGGUAUUUACUGAAGUCAUUGCAGGUAUGAAACUUGAUCCUGACGUACAUGUAAUUAUUCAUCUGGUUUUGCCUUUAAAAUCGAGUGUGACAGAAACUUGGAUUGUUCACCUGCUUACUUAUAUUGAAUUUGAAACAGGAAACUGUUGCAGCAGCACCACUGGAGAUAUCGCCUGAAAUUUGUGAACAAAAAGCUCGUACUAUAUACUACCCAUUCUUUAAACUCUUUAGUAUUCGGUUAACACUCUUUUGCAUUAGUACAACGUGGCCGCUAUAGCUAUCCAUCAAUCGCAUUUGGAAACUUACCUGAUAAUUAACCCAAAAAAAAGCAUCCCAGAUAUCAUGUGCUGCCACAACGUCCGUGUACAAAGAUAUACAAAGUAUUUAUUUGCUUCUCUAAGGUUGAGGCAUAUGAAUAUAUUCUCCAAUCAGGAAUAUGCAAAUACCACAUCCAACGAAGUCAAUGACGCUAUACUAGUAUUAUUUCAGGAAAAAAAGGAUAUGCGCAUGUUAAGUCAAUGUCAUUUCUUUUUCAAAACGAUGUCUUGAACCAUUUUUGCUAGUAGGGGAGCAGUGCGUUGAUGCAAACCAGACUUUUGAUCCCAUCAACAAUGCAACUGAUUUAAAUAUUUUUUAAUCCCUUCUAUGCCAUUUUCAGUGGCAUAAAAAUGAAUGCCUUAUAUGCCCCUUUCUGGAAGGCAAUGGAGGAUUAAAUUUUCAAUUCAGCAGUAUUAGAGGGAUAUUGAUUUUAACAGUGGAAAUAGGGAUUAGAGUUUUUUUUUAGCAGUGACAUCUAAGGAAUUUACCCUCUGUUUAUUUUAACUCUUCAGUAGAUAAGCGGAGCGCCUUUCUAGUAAAAUCUGGCCCUUUCCACCAAAUAAUCCAGCUAGUCGAUGUCGCAAGUCAACGGUCACCAUCAGCUGGACCGACGUCUUAUACCCGUUGGUGCAGAAUUCCAUCCUUUUUUUGUGAAGUUGCGAUCGCAACAUGCUCCGAAAGGACCGGCGCUAGUCUGAAGAAUUACUUAGGCAUGUGUUUCAGUGUAAAGUGAAGGGAUGCAUAUAUAUUAGUAUAUACAUAGCUAUGCUUAUAUGUUCAUUUUGUACACCAACACUGAUUAUUAGUCUCAGGCUUGAGGUCAUGAAUGAACUUGCACCUAUCUUGCAGUUGUCACUGAUUUCCUUUGGAUUGUGAGAACUUUUUUUUUUAUUUUUAACCCUUUUUUUUCUUUAUUUUUAAAAAUAACCUCACCCGGGUUUAAUUUGCGCGGGGUGACCCUUUUGGCCGCGCCAGACCGCCUGGCGCGGCAGGAACACGCUGCCGCGCCGCAUGCACUGGCGCGGCGGCCCCCUGCCACGCUGGCGCGGCGAGUCGCGGCGCCAGUCGGGCGCUGACGUGGGCGGGGCGUUCGCCGCGCCAGACCGCCUGCCGCGCCAGCCCGCCUGGCGCGGCAGGGCCACCACUAGAUCGACGCGCCGGCUCCCUUCCUCCUCCCUCCCUCCUUUCUUCCUCCUCCAGAAACGCCUGAGCCCGAGCUUGCAGCGCCGCCCCCCGCCGCCCCACCCCCAAAUCCACCCAAAAUCCGGCGUUUUCGGUGGGGGAAAGUAGUGAAAAUCGAUCCCUGCUUCGUGUGGAAGGUAUUCCCCUACUUAUUCUCGUGUUUUACCGUUGCAUUUGGUAGAUCGGAGGAUGUUUAGGUGACUUAGGGUUAGGUUAGUGAUUUGAAAUUUCAAUGAAAUGCAAUGGUGUUUUGUGUUAGAUGAUACGUAGUUCAUACGCAAUUGAGUAUCUGCCCGCGAUAUUGACGUGUAGAACUUGUCGAUUUAAGGAUAUAUUCAUUGAAUCGUAUAGUGCAAUGUAUAUGUGUAUUUUUUGUUUGCAAUUUGUCCAAUAUAUGUAAUGUGUGUAGUUGAUAUGUCGAAUAUGUGCAAUGCGUAGUGUAUAUGACAUGGUGAAAUGUUUGUAUUUUGUAGAUGGAUCGUUUAGUUCGAUUUUUUGAUGGUGGUGUUGUGAAACAAAAUGGGGAGUUAGAGAAUAUGAAUGAGUCAAUUGAAUUCUUCAAUGGUCCUCCAAGUUUUAGUGAUUUAGUUGACCGUGUAAUGAGAAGUAUGGAUGUAGAGUGGAUGAGAUCAGUUUGAGAGGUCGUUUUGAUUGUGGGAAAGCUAGAGCUCAUUAUGUUCUCAUGAAGUUAGCAUCCGAUGCGAAUUGGAAGCACUAUAAGGAUGUUGUGCACGUAGCUAAUGUUGCAUGUUUGGAGGUUAUAGUCGAAAUUGUUCGUAUGCCUGGCCCAAAUGUUGUCAUGAGGGAGGAAGUGGCGGUAGUGAACCAUAAUGGUACCCAGGAGUCAGAAAUGUUGCAUCACGUGUUAGGUGAAACAGAACGUGAUUUUGACUUGGCUAUUGCCAAUGAUGAUUUUCCCAAUAACAUUUUUGAGAGGGAUGAAGCAAAUAUAGAUGUUGAUAAUGUCUCUAUGGGUUCCGAAGAUUGUGAAUUGGAGGAAGAUGGGGUAGUAGGUGUGGAGGUAGAGGAGGAAUCACUAUUUGAGAGUGGUGGGCAUGAAUAUGAGAACGUCGGGGUAGAAAAUGAAGAGGAUGGACCGCAAUUUGACACCGCAACCGUACAUGAUGUAGAAGGCAUUCGUCGUAUGGACGAUUGUUUUUCUUACACCCAGUAUGAGUUGCGGUUGUUAAAAGAACGUGAUGUCGAACUGCCAUCCGUUCCCAAUGAUAAGGACAUAAGUAUGGUUCACAAAGCAAUAUGUGAAUCUAGUAUGGUGAAUGCCGAAGGGACGUCCAUUGGUGAGAGUCCAGUGAUUAAGAAGGGGAUGAAGUUCAAUAGUCUUGAGGAGCUGAAGUUUUUCUUGGCUGACUACGCGGUGAGGUUACAUAGACCUUUUAGCGUAGUUCACUCUGACAAGAACUUAAGAUACAAUGUGAUGUGCAAGCAAGGAUGCCAUUGGCAUGUAUGGUCUCGGCUAAUAUCAAGCACCGGACAAUGAAGAAUUUCAAAUGUUGUGCAACCGCAUACUUGUCGGUCGUCACAGCCGAAGCGAGAGCAUGUACAGUGCACAGCAAAGUACCUUGGACGGCGUAUCCUAGGCAUUAUCCGUAAAGACAGCGAGACAUCGGUGCCAUCACUCGUGGAGUCCAUCUUCAUCUUUAGUGGGUACCGUGUGAAGUAUUCGAAGGCUUGGCGGGUGAAGCAACACGCUGUUGCCCUGCUUUGGGGCGACUGGAAGGAGUCGUACGGCAUGGUUCCUAGGGUACUCUCAGCUAUAACCUACUACAAUCCCGGAGUUAAAUGGUGCAUCGACUCAUGUGGCAUGAUGCUUCCUGACAAUGGAGUGUUGAAGCAUAUACUGCAAAGGGUAUUUUGGUGCUUCCCUCAAUGUAGUGAGGCAUUUCAACAUUGUCGUCCUGUGAUACUUGUGGACGGUACAUUCUUGACUGGCAAGUACAAGGGUACAAUAAUGAUGGCAGUUGUUGUAGAUCCAGAACAACAGCUUGUGCCUCUUGCUUUUGCCUUGGUCGAGAGUGAGAAUAAUGAGAGUUGGUCAUGGUUUAUGAAACUUGUUCGGGUACAUGUUCUUGGACCUUCACGGAUAGUGUGUAUGAUAUCAGAUAGGCAUCAUGGGCUUCUAAAUUGUGCGAAGGACCACAUUGAUGGUUUUCCACCGCUUGUGCAUAGGUGGUGCAUGAGGCACUUUGCUGCCAACAUGUCGCGUCGGCAGAAGAGCAAUCGUGUGAUUGGAAAAUUGAAAUUAUUAUGCAAGGUUCAUACAGAGAGAGAAUUUUGUGAGAAGUUAGAAGAUUUAGUGAAGGACUUGAACGACGACGCAAAAGAAUGGUUGAAGGGUGAAAUGGAGGACAAGGAUAAAUGGGCGCAGGCUUUCGAUGAGGGAGGGAUGCGCUGGGGUAUUAUGACCACGAACUUCUCGGAAUCACUCAACGGAGUUUUCAAAGGCAUCCGAAGUAGGCCCGUCGCUGGAAUUAUUGAAUACACAUUCGAAAAAUGCAACGCCUACUUUGUGAACCGAUGGGGAAAGGCAUGUGAAAUGUUAGAUCAAGGCUAUAGAAUUGGGCAAGUUGCAGAUAAUUAUUUAUCAGAGGCUGAGCUUAGAUCCGUGCAUCACUUAGCAGAACCGUACGGGCCAGAAAGGAUGGUGUAUUCUAUAAGAAGUUACGGUACGACUAACAUUGGGGGUGAGAGUCAUGGAGGCCGACACUAUAGAGUGGAUCUGCACGAAGUUUCGUGCACCUGCAAUGUUCCUCAAUUGUUGCACCUUCCAUGUUCACACUUCAUUACAGCUUGCAAGGCAAGAGGUCUUAACUAUGAAAGCCCCAUGUACAUGUCACCGUUGUACUCUAGGGAGCACACCAUCAAAAUAUGGGAAUCAAGCUUUCAACCUUACCUAGAUCCGUCACAAUGGCCGGCAUAUGAAGGGGUAGGGUACGUGCCUAACCCUAGUUUAAUGAGAAAUAAAGUAGGAAUGAGGCAGAAGAAGCGUUUCACAGGCGACAUGGACGUGUCGGAAGGGAGGCUUUCUACAGAUUAUGAUACUGGUGAUUUUGAUAUUGACAAGUCGGAAAAUCGUUGCUCCAAGUGCCACAAGAUCAUUAGGAAUUGCACAUGCCGCAGUAGAAAAUCAAAAGGCACUAAAUCUAGACCGAGCAGUAAUAGGCCGCGUACUUCGAACAAUUGGGUAUGCGCGUUGCUUGUAUUAUGCGUGGCUAUUAUUUUAUCUUUUUUAUAGUAGUACAUUAUCAUAUUUUCCGUACUUAUCAUAUAAUGAACCUAUUUACUAACGAUCAUUUUUGUUGUUUCUUUAGGAUGGCGGCCCCGGGGUACCCUCUUCUUGAGGCUGCUUACGACUUGCACCACCGUGCCCACCACCUCGCGGACCUAAAUGAGGUAUAACAAUGGUUACUAAUUUUUGCUGAUGAAUGCAUACCUUAGGAUGAGAAUUGCAAGAUUUUCGUAUGAAAUGUUCUUAUAAAUUAAGGAUGUGCCUAUCGUUACUAUUCGCUUGUGUACAGUGUAAACAAUUUCAUACUGCAAAUGUCAUUUGUAUCAUAUUUGUGUUACUUACCACUUUAGAAGCCCGUUAUUCACAAUUGGAUUGACUUCUUAUUUUGUAAUAAUCUUAUAAUGUUUUGCAGAAUUUGACACCACUGAGGGCUAGGGUGCACUCACCACUUAGGUGGGAUGAGCGGUACGCCCAGUACCUGCAGAGAGCAGGUUUCUUGGAUAUCGCUGUUCAGGUCGUGGGGGGUCUCCCUCCAAUGGACGGACCACUGUUGACCGCUAUGGUCGACAGGUGGCGUCCGGAGACUCACACGUUCCACAUGCCCUUCGGAGAAAUGACCAUCACAAUGCAGGAUGCGGCUAUGAUACUCGGCCUUCCACUGGAUGGGCAGCUAGUGACAGGUAUUAUACAGAAUGAGAAUUGGCGUGAUAUGGUCGAGAUGCAUAUUGGGAUUAGGCCGCCAGAGCCAGAGGGCGGAGAUAGCUCGAAGAAGACGUCCGGUGUCAGCUCGGCAUGGUUGAGGGAGCACUUUGAGGUGUGUCCUCCGGGAGCAAAUGACGAGGUCGUGCAGCGCUAUGCUCGAGUGUGGCUAUGGCACUUUGUCAGUACAUUCCUCCUUCCAGAUGCAGCUGGGAACACAGUAUCGUGGAUGGUUCUCCCCAUUCUAGGUCAGGUUUCGGAAAACAUAGCCACUUACAGUUGGGGCUCAGCGGCUCUUGCCUGGCUGUACAGACAGUUAUGUGAGGCUUGCCGGCGCACAGCGAGAGAUUCCAAUGUUGGAGGGUGCACUUAUAUGCUCCAGAUUUGGAUUUGGGAGCGAAUGCCCGUGGGUCGACCUUCCCGCCUCCGUGUCGAUGUAAGUCAAAACGGCUAAUUCCUUUUUCUACGUUAAUGUUCGAAAAACUAUUGUAUCAUGUGACCAAUUGAACUUACUUGCAAUUUCAGCCAUGGCAUCGAGACGAUGCUCUUCCAACGUUCUAUCACGUGUGGAAGCAUGUGCGGCCCGUUCGUGGCAAUCCGGAUAGGUGCUACAGGGCCUACACGAAAGAGUUUGAUGUUCUCACGCAGCACCAGGUAAUUUGCUAACCAUAGUUUUUUAAGCUAACUUGCGUAUAAUGGUAGAUGAAAUAAGUAUUGCGUGAAAUUUUUUGAAGGUGGAAUGGAAACCGUAUGACCGUGAGCAGCUUAGCCAUAUCGUCUUUUCACCGACGUGCUACAGAGACAGAGAGCUGUGGAGGUGCACGACCCCAAUGAUAUUGUACUACGUGGUAGAGUUUCAUAUGCCGCAUAGGGUGAUGCGGCAGUUUGGGAGGAUGCAACCAUGCCCUCCUUUGGAAUUAUCGACUUCGCAGCAGCUGCACAGGUACGCAGGAAUAAAUAACUAUUGGAGGCUAUUCAAUUAACGCAAUUAACAUGUUAUACUAAUACUUCACUAAUUUCUGAUGCAGUAUCGACCGCAGAAAGCGGUACAAGGAGAAUGAUUGGAGGGUGAAGCAUGACCAGUACCUCCUCCUGUGGCAGAACAAGCAAGGAUGCGAUCCUGAAGGUGGACCGUACUGGCGACCAAACAAUGAGUACAUAAGAUGGUACUGUACUUCGACGAGAACCAAAGUGAAACCAUCUUGGACUAAUGUGCCCAUUGAGGAUGCACCGUCUGAUGAUGACGCUGACAUAGCUGACGUGUACGACACGGUGACACGCCAUGGGACACAGCCUGAGCGUGCACCUCUCCACGACUACAUGGUAAGAUUUCGGUUUGUAAUUAUAGUAUCGUCACAUUGAUCACUUAUGGAAUGAAAACUCCUGCGUGCAGGGACAGCAGCUUGCAAGGCUCUCAAACGAGGCGGGCGUGAUUAUGGAGCACGCUGUUGGGGAAGGUGAUAGUCUGCUUCGUGCUUUUGCAGAGGUAGAAGCCCAAACUAAUUUUCACUUAUACUCGUACUAUCUUUGUAACCAUCAAUAACAUAGUCGUGAAUAUAUGGCAGAGGGUUCGUAAAAGUUGCAGGCGAAUGGCUAUGAGGAUGAACUGCAUGACAUCCUCAGAUGCGCACGACGGGGGCAAUGUCCAGGGUACUUCUUCAGGAUCAUGUCGGACUGCAUUGGCGACUACCCCCAGGGCCGCAACACCGUCCACUGCGGCAGGUCCUAGUAGGAGAUCGCGAGGUAAGGAACCCGCAUCCCCUCAGGAAAGCGAGGACUCGGAAGGUGAGCAGUCUGAGGAUGAUGACCCUACGUAUGGUGAGGAACUCGAGAUUUCUCACGAUGCUCCACCUGUGACUCAGACGCAGGGAGAGUCCAGCCAGGUAUAUUCACAAGUUUCUCCAAAUUCAAUUAUACAUUUUAAUGUUCGCUCCCGAAGUGUCAUACAAAUUUUAUGAUUUGUGCCCAAUUAUUCCAUAGGAACCUGCAACUCGUACUCGGUUGCCACGCCGGCGUCAUCGUUCCCGGGACCACACCGACGUUGGCAGCGCCAAUGUGCUGCCCACGCAUCCAAGGAGGGAGCAUCGCCCAAGAGAUCCUUUUAGCCCUCCGGAUGAGCGGCGGUCACGACAUUGAACCUAGCAUGUGCCCAAUUAUUCCAUAAGUUGGUUGUUAGGUUUAUUCAUGUCACAUUUGUAAAAGACUAAGUUGGUUGUUACGUUUUUUUAUGUCCGUACAAUGUUAUAUGUUUGCUCCAUGAUGUACUUGUAGUUCGUGUAUUUUUUCGUAAAUGUUCAGAACAAAAAUACGUUUCAGAUUGUGCAGCGCGGUCCUGAUGCCCCGCCCCACCCUCCUAGGCCGAAACCUACUGAAAGGUUACUAAAAUUGAUGCCCCAUCCCCCCGGGAAACCUACUGACCCCCCGCCCGAAACCUACUGAAAGGUCGUUGCGUUUGGCGCGGCACCUGACUCCUGCCGCGCCAGGCGGCCUGGCGCGGCACGAGCCCCCCGACCGAAACCUACUGAAAGUAACUUUCAGUUGGCGCGGCAACUGCCUCCUGCCGCGCCAGGCCGCCUGGCGCGGCAAGACCCCCCCCCCCCCCGACCGAAACCUACUGAAAGUUUGGUGCAGGUGGCGCGGCACCUCAAUCCUGCCGCGCCAGGCUACCUGGCGUGGCAAGGCCCCCCCCCCCCCCCCCCCGCCCGAAACCUACUGAAAGUUUGGUGCAGGUGGCGCGGCACCUCAGUCCUGCCGCGCCAGGCGGCCUGGCGCGGCAAGGCCCGGCCCCACCCCAACCCUUGUUUCGUUUGCCGCGGGAUGGCCCCCACCAACCGAACUUUCAGCGGCAAGCCCCCUCCCCUGCCACCAGCGCAUUUCUGCUUCGCCAGGCGGAGUGGCACAGCAAGCCCGUGGUUAGGAUAGAGAAUAAUAUUUAUUAGUAGGCCCGGUAAUUCUGGCUACAUUUAACACAAGGCACAUGGUACUGACAAGACGCCCACAAAGUGUUCUGCAAUAGGAUUAGAUCAGACCGGUGCGCAAUCAUGGAUAAGAAUAACACACACGUGCAUUAAAUGUUAGGGGUACGUAUUUCCCCAUUCGUACUUCGUCUUCUACUAUUAUUGCAUCACAAUUACCUUCAAGUACACCUGCUCUACCAGCGCUAUGCCUUCCUCCUCUUCCACCGCCCACUCCUCCUCGUCCUCCAUCCAAAUUAUCGAUCUCAUCGAAGCUACUACUAUUUUUUUCACACUCUAGCGCUGACUACUAGCUCGGAGAGCAAACUUUGAUGCGUUUGAACAUAGUUCUCUCGGAAAUGAAAAUAGUUUUUGAUAACUAAUUGUAGUUCCCAGAAUAAACAUAAACAUAAUUUUCUCAUAAAAGAACAUAGUUUUCACAGCUACAGAGAAACAUGAUCCAGCUACAUCAACACGUUCAUCUAGUCCGAGUCACCUUCAUAUAGUAACUCGUCGUCAUCAUCAUCAUCAUCAUCAUCAUCAUCUCCGGCAACAACAACUCCCUUGCCUUUCUUAUCGACAUUAACCUUAUCAACAGGUAAAUCGGCACAAGAGCCUUCAUCGUCUCCAUCUGUGCCUCUUCCGCUUUUUGUUGUAACUCUUCCAUUUCAAGCCUUCUUUUUCUUGCCCUAACUUGCUGCAAAUAUUGUUCCCAUGAACCCUCAGGGUAUUUCACAUUCGGAUCAACCACAUAACCUAAGCGAUCUCUUUCCUCCCUCAACCUUUGUUUCUCCAACUCUCUCUCCUCCUGCAACUUCCUCCUAUUUUCUCUCUUCUCAUUUUCAGUUAGAGGUCGUGGAUACUUGGAUCUAUUUUGCCUCCAAUACUUAAUAAUAGUUUCCUUUGCAUAAAGUCCUUUAGGUUCCACUCCAGUCUCAUGCACCAUAUCUUGAUAUAUUUUUCCCCAAAGCAAGUCGUCGUCAGGAAUAGGCACAUCAUACUUCUUCCUAAUCUUUUCUUUAAUUUCUUGUUGUUUCCUUGACUUCCAUGGUUCCGAUGUAUUUCCCAACUUUAAUAACAAAUCAUAUCGACCACAAAAAUCUUCCCAAUCACAUGUCCUUCCCUCCUGCAACAACAAUUAAAUAUUCUUACAAAUUUGAAACAAGUUACAACCUUCAUAAAACAUAAGAGACGAGUAGUUACUAACCCAGUAAUUGCCAUGUGCAUUUCCACAGAACGAACCAUAUCCAAGUUCAGAAGGCACCACACCUUCUGUUGCCAAUAUACCACACUUGCAUCUAUCACUAGGAGAGGACACACAUGGCCACGGUGCAUUUUCACUUUCAAACUCCCGCACUUCCUCCUCUGUUGGCCACAUUGCUAUUGGGCCGUAUAUAUACUCAUUGAAAUCACACAACGGCCACCCAUCCUGCAAAAAACCCAUGACGUGAACUACUCAUAUGUAAAGUAACUACAAAACGCUGCUCCAACUUCCAAGCAAUAACAUCAAGUUAAAGUAUGAACAAUAUACUGCAAAAUUAUAACUGCUAGCUAAACGACAUACUAAUAUUCUUGUAAUAUACUUACAUGAGUCUUUAGGGAGCAUCGAAAGAAUGGAGUAAACUUAGGUGGAUGCCCUAAGUUAGGACGCAUAAGCUUAGCAGGAACACCACACUUGCGCAUGGGAGGAUCCCUCACACGCCUACAAGCAGCCUCCUGCUUCUCCUCGUCGGUCAUCCUAGGUGGGUUUGGUGGAGGAGGAACCCAACGCCUAAACUGAUGGUAUGGUUUAAGCUCUGUGCUAUGAUAUGGGAAUAGGCGGAUCCUAGGAUCAUAUUUGUCGGGUCCAUCGAUCCACUGAAAGAAAUCACAAGGUGCGGCAGGCAGUGGAUCAAAAGUCCAUUUGCAUACAUAGAAGGCUCUUCCGGCUGUUUUUGGAUGCCUUGAUUGUUUCACCUCUGCUUGCGCGCCACAUCUACAAAGUGGUACCGGAAGGGCAGGAGGUACGGGACCAGCACCAUUGGACUCGCCCACAUAACGCACAUACCACCUACGCCGUUUGUAUUCACAAUCAAACGACGCCAUCUCACCUGGAAAUCAAGUGCAACAAAUUUAAUACACAAAUAAACUUUACACACGUAAUCCAUACUAGCUAUAUACAUCAUUUUGAUAAAAUGUAAACACUCGAUCUACAAAAUACAAACACUGAAACAAAAAUGAGACUAAUUAAUUUAAGAUAUAAAAAAAAUACAUGUCAUGUAAACCACACAAUUGGAUGAAUAUAUACCUAAAUCGAAGCAUUCAACAAGUUCUACACGUCAAUAUCGCGGGUAGAGACUCAAUUGCGUAUGAACUACGUAUCAUCUAACACAAAACACCAUUGCAUUUCAUUGAAAUUUCAAAUCACUAACCUAACCCUAAGUCACCUAAACAUCCUUCGAUCUACCAAAUGUAACGGUAAAACCCGAGAAUAAGUAGGGGAAUACCUUCCACACGAAGCAGGGAUCGAUUUCCACUACUUUCCCCCACCGAAAACGCCGGAUUUUGGGUGGAUUUGGGGGUGGGGUGGCGGGGGCCGGCGCUGCAAGGUGCUGCUGUGUGGUGUGUCUGGAGGAGGAAGAAAGGAGGGAGGGAGGAGGAAGGGAGCCGGCGCGUCGAUCUAGUGGUGGCCCUGCCGCGCCAGGCGGGCUGGCGCGGCGAACGCCCCGCCCACGUCAGCGCCCGCCUGGCGCCGCGACUCGCCGCGCCAGCGUGGCAGGGGGCCGCCGCGCCAGUGCAUGCGGCGCGGCAGCGUGUUCCUGCCGCGCCAGGCGGUCUGGCGCGGCCAAAAGGGUCACCCCGCGCAAAUUAAACCUGAGGUUAUUUUUAAAAAUAAAUAAAAAAAAGGGUUAAAAAUAAAAAAAAAGUCCGGAUUGUGAUGGCAUUGACAGAUCAAAUUUCGAGGUGCAAUUGCAUUGCAACUUGCAGAAUGCAAAGCUUCUCUAAUUUUUCGGCGUCACUUUCACUUGCAACUAUAUUACUUCAGAUCAUGGAAUAGAGGCUAGACUCAUCUUCAUUCGGACAGAUGGUAAUGUUUCAGAAGAUGACUUUUUCCUUUCUUUAAUGCUACAGCUUUCAGAGAGCACAGACAUAGUAGGAACUGCAAUUAAGUGCCUACAGCUGUACGGCCCUAUUUUCAAGUCUACAGUUGAAACCAUUAGGAAAGAACUUAUGCAACUCCCUACAGAAGACUUCUCAUGGGUGCCAGUUGUUGAUACACACCACAAAGAACAUUGGGACAAUCUUCACAACUUUGGCACUGAUUGGUUUCGCCCAAACCCGUUAUGUUGCAAGCAGAAUGUUCAGCACGAGCUCUAUCACAGUACGGAGUUAAACAAGUCAAGAUUACUAGGUGCCUUUCUAGAACCAGUUAUUGAAGUACAUCUGCAGUGCCAUGUCUCGCUCUCGGAGUGCAUCCAACAUAGGUCUUUAUUGUUCGAAACCAAAAAUUCUGUACAAGAUUCUCCAUAUCUGAAAGUUGGAGUCCUUUUGACGCCCCAUGGGCAUUUAGAAGACAUUCUACUUGUAGAUAGGAGUCCUGCAAUACCGGCAAUCUACAGUGAGGGGCAGCAUUCCUUGCAUAUGGACUUCACCUUGGGGCAACUUGAAGAGAUCAUGCUGCCAAAAGCAAUAGAUUACUUCUGCAAGAAUGACAAAGCGACAGUCUACCAAAUGCUUUGGAAAUUAAAACAUGGUGCUUCAUACAUUACGAUUGAGAAGGCAAGCAUGAGCUCACAGAGAACAAGCAUGCGGCCAUGGAGAACUUUUCAGGGACCUAGGGAAGGAAAGAUGUUGCUAUGCCAUGACCAAGAGAUAGGGAGACGGACAAAUGUGAUCUGUCAAUUCCUCAACCUGUGGGUUGCACAUGCGCCUGUCCAGCUGCGAGGGACGAUUGUGGAUUGGAUUCAGAAAGAAACGGAAAGUCAGUGCACAGCUACAUCUGAACUUCUAAAUCAUCUAACGGGGAUGGAUAAGGGAAAUGAGGAAUAAAAGACUGGAAAUGGGAUGUUCUAAGGAACACAUCAAAUAUUUGCUAUGGCUAUGACAAACAUAAAAUUAAAAUCCUAUAUCGACGGAGCAAAGCCAUAGCAAUAAGGUUGCAAAGUUACAUUAAUCUGUUCUGUUGAUUUACAAUUAGAGGUUCUAUGUUGUAAACUACGAACUUGCACAAGUAUAACACAUCACUCAUUUUUAGUUUUCGUAUGCUGUCGCUUGUUUCUCGCCAGCUGAUCUCAUUUAGCAAAAUGUGAUGCAUCUUUUAGUAGUUUCUAAUUAAUUUUUUCCAUGAGACCUUUUUUUAAAUUCCGUGAGAAUUUUAAGUGGGUGGUCAUGUACCAUGUAAUAUUUAUAGCCAUUUUAGGGAAAAAUUACAAGGAUAAUGCUCGUUUUGUGACUUUAUAUACUCCUCAUAGCUGAUAAUGACCGGGGAUUCCUCGAUUUUAUCACACUUGCACUACUGUGAUGUAGUGAGAGAUCGUGCUCUGCCCUGCCUAGGAAAUAUUCUGCGAACAUAAAGUAGUCAAGCAUCAAACUAAUUGUUUGUUCCUUUUUAAAUGAAGGGAAAGAAUAGGAAUCCUGUAAUCAGGAACUUGUAAUUUAGAAUCAGCAAAAGAAACAAGAUGGCUAUGUGCACUGAAAUAGCAGCAUGUUCAAAUCCGAGGUGGCUUUUGUAUUUUUGUCAACCAAGAGAUCGGAUGCUCAUGUUGUUCAUACCUUCUAAUUCUGUCAAGUGUUGCCACCUCUGCCAACCGAUGUUUAGGAAGCAUGAAAAAUAUGCUUUCUAAACAUAUGCUUUUUCUGGUGACAAAAAGAAAGUUUGUGUGCUUUUCCAUAUGCUUUUUCCCUCUCGAUUUGGUCUGUGUUAUGCUCUAUUUUGGAACCUUGUUCCGGAGACACCAUGGAAGAUGUCCCUCUUCGGACCCUGAUGUUAACUCAAUCACACGGGCGCCCGCUCUCUAGCUUUGUUUCUGUUCAUUUCUCCAUUCUCUGCGUGUAAUUUUCUUUUUCUGUUGGCAUCGGCUAUGGAGGCUUCAACUCUGUUUGGAACACACCAUACAUAUGCAAUAGGCUAACUUUCAGUUUGUAGAAUCUAGUUCGUUCUCUUUAAGGUUCACGUUACCGACGCUCUAAAAAGUACAUGAUAAAGUAUUUUUUUCUCUCUCAAAUAUAUAGGAGAGCUACGCAUCAUUAUAUUAAAAAGAGCGAAAAUUGCAGAAACAGUUUACAAACCUGGCGGAGAAGAGACUUACAGCACACCCUUGCAUACACCGUAUGCAGACUCUCCAAAAUAGAUCCUACAUUUUUUUAUGAUUUUUAACUCAUGAUAAGUAUUAAAAAAACACAUUAUAAGUUUUAUGAUCUUUCCAAUUCCAUCCAACUCAAUUCAACAACUAGAUCCUACAUAGUACUCAGGUUAUUUUUGGGUGUUCAUCUAUUUUUUAAUAAAAUGUGUACAUUGAUAUUAAUAUGUAGAUUUUUUUGCAAUAUAUUACGCACCAUUGUUGUAAAAAUAAAAUUCAGUAUCCUUCAAUACCAUUUCAAAUAGACCGCUGGCACCACCGUUAUAUUCUCCUGCAGUAAUACUCACUUCUUAUUAAAAAUAUAUUUUAACUAAAGUUCGAUUUAAAUACAUUUUUGAAAUAUAGUCAUUUCCCAAAAAUCAGUAGAGUAAAGAAAGAGAAUAAAAGGGGAAAAUAAUGUUUAAAAAAAAAGUAGAGCGGGGCAUUCAGCAUUCCUUCCGCAAGCCCACUACUGCUGCAGUGCUGCUGAGCGGGGCAUUUGGCUCUGGUCAACGCAUCUCGCUGGCAGCGGUGGCCAGGCCUCAGGCGGCCUCCCCGGCGAUUGGGACCGGCCAUGAUGCUGCCGGGACGGCUUCUUCUCGCUGGGCUCCUGCGCUCAGCCUCCACCGCUUCCUCCGCUCCCCGAAUGCCAACGGUGAGACUUACGGAUCCCGCAUCUAUGAGUUCUUCAUUUGGGGAUACUUUUUCUUUGCCCCUCUGUAAUUUUGCAAAAGGUUUCUUUUUGUCACGUCGAUGCGUUGCUGUCCGAUAACUGAGAGGGAGAACAAAUCUGGAUCUGCGGUUUCGUGGGAGAUACUUACUAAAAUGCUAAUGUAAGCAUUUUGCAUCUCCACCUUGCAGAGUUGCAUUAUGUCGUGGAUUGAAAUGUACACCGCAGCUUUAGUGCCAUAGUGACAACAUCCAUAAGGCUUGAGCAAAACUGCACACAAUGCAAAGGCAUGUAGGGUCAUUGCAGCAGUGCUUGUGGCAAAUGGGAGCUUGACAACUGUUGUUCAAUAGUUUGGAACCGCGACGCGAAUUGGUUAGUUUAUCUGCUCCAGUAGCAGAUGCUGCCUUUGCAGAUUCGCUGAUACUUCACCAUGUUCUACUCUUAAAAACUAUGGUUCCCUUUUCUUGGUAUUAGCAUUUUAGCAUGAUGAGGAGGAAAUGUAUUUCAUUAUGAAUUCUUGGUUAGUUCAUUCGAUUUCACUGAUUUGUCAGCAUAGCAGUUGGAUUAUCAUUCUAUGUUAGAGCUUGUUAAUAUCCUUUGUGCAGCUCGCAUCCCUUUUGCUACUACACCAAAGCAGUGCGUUGACUUCCUCCCUGUAACAAUUAUGCAGUUUACAAGAAAGAUUAUUUCUUUCAGGCUUGAAGGAAUAUUGGCAGACUUAGGCCUCUAAACAUAUUCGUUGCUUUGACAUGUAUUGGUUAUCAGAGAAGUGGAAAACUGGAAAUCCAUGCCCACUUGCUACAAGAACACAGCUACCAGAAAAGUGGAAUCCAUACUCACAUGCUGCUCUAACAUCCCGCAGUCAAACAUAAGUUUGGUUGUGUUUACAAUGCAUUUCAACUGCCCAUUCAAAUUUAAUCCACAUGUAUGCACGCAAGUCAAAUGUUUCCAGUAUCCUAAAUUCACAAUACUAUGUAAUGCUUUGACACCACCUUCUUGGCUUCUUGCUUCACAGAAUAUGUGCUAUUGGGACAGAUUUACUUGGAGUUCAUGUUAUUUUCACAGCACAAGUGAUCAUUCUUCCAGAAAAGCAGGGCUAACAGCUAAGGUAGAUAUGGUCAUACAGACUCCUUUAUCAUGAUGCUACAUAGAUUAUUUUAUUCUAUUUAAGCAUGAAUCAGAGGGUGGUGAGUCUAUUGAGUGCAUAGUAAGGCAAACAACUGGGUUGUUAUCGUCACUAUAUAGUCAUGUCACUCUUGUCUCAACCAUGUAAGGCAAUCACAUGUGCCAGAAUUCUGUUCUCCUAACAAAACCAUUCCUUUUUCUGUGUAGUAGGAGCAGCUAGACCCCUUUGUGCUGAUUAAAGAUGAAGUCUCUGAAGUGACAGAUCGAUUGCGCUCAAUGGUGGUUGCUGAGGUGCAUAAUUUAACUGAAAUCUUUGCUUGAAUUACACUAUAUAAUGAUACUUUCACCCUUUUUUUUUCUGUACCAUGAAAUACUAUAAACUACAUCACCCACCUUUUCCCAAUAGCUUAAGCUUUUGGAUGAGCUAUUUGGCGUAUGGAACUCAAUAUAUGUGUUAUCUCCACAGGUGCCUGAACUGACAUCAGCAGCUGGAUACUUCUUCAGAGCUGGAGCUGAAGGGAAAAGAACUUGUCCUACUGUAAGACCAGAUUUCAUAGUGUGUUCUUGUAUCUUAUCAUCAUACCAUAGAUAUGUACUUUUUUUAGUAGACACAAGUAUAUAUAAUUUACUCGUUCAGUUUCACCAUUGUAAGCUCCUGACUAUUGAUGUUUCAGGUUCUACUGUUGAUGGCUUCAGCUAUAAGCAUGGACAUAGCUGAUGGCUUAGAGAAUAAGCCUCGAGCAAGGCAUAUGCAUCUUGCUGAGAUAACUGAAAUGAUUCAUGUACGCAUCUUAGGCGUCUUGUUUCAUUCCACUUUCCGAAACAUUCAGAAAUAUUUGUUUUAGUGACUUGUCUUCUCCCUUGCAUCUUAGAUAUCGAGCCUUAUUCAUGAUGACGUUUUGGACGAUGCUGAUACUAGGCGUGGCAUGGACUCAUUGAACUUCAAAGUGGGGAAGAAAGUAAUAUCAUAUACUUUUUCUACAAUGGCUAAAUUGAUAUUUAGGGCCAAAUAGUUCAGUAAUCAUUCUUAUCAUAAAAUUUUAAUGGAAAAGGAAAUUCAAGGGAUCUUAAUUUAAAGUUGUAUUCUUAAAUAUGGACAUAUAAACAUGUGGACAUCAAUUAGUUGCUGUUCAGUAGCUCAAUUAAAGUAUUUUGGUUUAGCCUUUUUUUUUUCCGUAGUUCUUAGAGACCAAAAUAUAAACAAUUUCUUAUUUAAUGUGCAAGUAAGCCCAUUUUUCUGUUUGAUACCUCUGAAAAUGAAUAAUGAUAAUAGUUGUAUCUGUUUAUUUUCCACAUCUUCUCAUCUCAUAAGUAUGGACCAUGUUCUUCUAAAAGAAAUAAAAGGAAGCAACGCCAAGCCAUGCUGUAAACUUGGCAAAAUGCAAGUCAAACUAUAUCUUGAGUCAUAUUCACAAUACCUUAUAACAGUUAGUAAAGCUGAUGCUACCCUGCAGCUUGCAGUAUUGGCUGGCGAUUUCCUACUUUUCAGGGCAUUUUCUGCAGCUGUGUCUCUUGACAAUACUGAGGUGCGAUGUUUCUCCUUUGUAAAGGCUAACAAGUUAUAUUAUUUUCCUUCAUCUUUGUUUGACUUUGUUGGGAAUAUUGCUAUCGAGGAUAAAAUAGACCAUGAGUGGGGGCUAAAAAAAUACAACUGAAAGAACAAAAUCACUUUAGUUUUUAGCAUGUGAGCUGCCAUGUCACUCUGCAUCUUCGCCCAUUUCUUUCAACAUCAGAUUAUGGCAGUUCCUUUCCAGUCGGUAUCUUUUGCAUGUUCAUAACGUCAAGAUACCGGAAUUAUUUUUAAUUCUGCAGGUUGUAUCAUUACUAGCAACUGCUGUAAAUAAUCUUGUUACUGGUGAGCUUAUGCAGAUGUCAAUAACUCCAGCACAGCGCUGCAGGUACAUAUCCAAUUCAUUUUAUCAUUUUCUUGCAUCAAGCUAUUGUCUAGUGCUUGAGAUUUUACUAAUGAAAGAUAGCACCCAUAAACUUUGAUAAGUUUGAGAUAUGAUGUGGUGUCAGUGUGGAGGUAGCAGAUUAGUGCCUUAGAAUGUGUUGUUAUGCUCAGUUGAUUCUUUAACUCUUCAUUAUUUGGGCUGUCAUAUGUGUGCAAGUAGCUGUUUAGCUUAGAGUGGAUAUGUACUGACGUUACUUUUCAUCAACUAUCAUCAAAUCAAAGUCCAGGAAAAAUGUUCACUACUUAAUAUAAUGCCAAUCACAAUUAGAUAGAUCAUUGGUGCUAAUCUAUCUACUAAAAACUUGGAUAACCUUGUUCUGGAUCGAGCAGAUUCAAGAAAAGAAAGGAAUGCUAGAUGAGUUCAUCAAGCCAUGACAAUCAACACUUUCUAAUAUUUUACUUAAUGUGACACCUGUUCAUGGAUGCUUGUACAGCAUGGACUAUUAUUUGCAGAAGACAUACUACAAGACAGCUGCAUUGAUUUCAAACAGCUGCAAAGCUAUUGCUGUCCUUGCUGAGCAAACAACAGAAGUACAAGCUCUUGCUUAUCAGUAUGGCAGACACUUGGUGUGUUGUAUUUUUCCUUACACAGAAGCUGUUCCUAUUUUUGCUAGACACAUGAACUGUUAAGAUGACCUACACUCUCUCUUCCAGGGCAUAGCAUAUCAGUUGAUCGAUGACAUCCUUGAUUUCACAGGCACAUCAGCUUCACUAGGCAAAGCCUCCUUGUCUGAUAUCCAUCAAUUAAUACAGUUAUUCACUCAAUAUUUCCUCAGUAGUAUUUUACUUUUUAAGAUAUCAAUGACAUGUAAGGAAUCAUAUAUGCCCUGUAUGGACAGGGAAUUGUGACAGCUCCCAUACUUUUUGCGAUGGAAGAAUUCCCUGAACUGCAUGACAUUGUUGAACAGGGAUUUGAUGACCCUUUAAAUGUUAAGACGGUUUGUAUUGCAAGUGUAUUUUUUUAAAAAGGAAAGUGUACUUUUCUUUGUUUCCAUUAAUAUAAUCCAACUAUUUGGGUUGUGAAAUGCUCAUAAAUUGUCUAGUGUGGUCUCAGAACUGCUCAAUUUUACACUUGUAGGCCCUCAAAUACCUUUCAAAAAGUCAGGGAAUCGAGAGGACGAGGUUUCUUGCUGCUGAACAUGCAAAACUGGCAGCGGGCGCUAUCGAUGAUCUUCCUGAUAGUGAGGAUCAAGUGUUGCUUAACUCGAGGCAAGCGCUCAAAGAUCUUACUCAAAAGUUCAUGAGAAGAACAAAGUGAAUUGGUGAAGCAGAAAAUGUAGUAUUGGUUAAACAUGCCAGCAGGCAGUAGAAUCCAUAAUGAUGCAUCAUUUCUUUUAAAAAUGUAACAAUGCAUCAUGCAUGUUUUUGUUGCUGAACAGUUUAUUAUUGGUCACUGAUGAGAACUUCAGCAGGUUUGGAACAAGAGCUUUACCUCUGUUUUCCCUCCAUUUAUACCAUUCAUCUAUUUCUGCAGAUUGCAUGAUGACAGGCAUAACCGCAUAAUGCCAGAGUAGAAGUUGGAUGCAAAAAAGUUGCCUUAUGAGUAUGUAUUAUGUAGAUAGCAAAACAACAUAUCUCUGAAUAAUUGGAGUAAAACAUUAAUAGAUCUUCAAAGAAACACACACUGCGAUCUUCUCAUAUGAUAAUCAUUCUCUUUAAUUACAUGGGCCACAUCAUAUAUUAAGAUAAUCUAACAAUGUACUCUAGACCCUGAUGUGCAGGUGGAUGCGAUACUGGCACGUCAAUCUUAUGCUUUCAUGUCUUUUUAAAAGUAAAAAGCGCAACACUUGGUUGAGUGCAGUCAAGGACCUGGUAUCUGUUCUGAUCACGGAAUACUGUAAAAUGGUUCUGGAUAUGGAAAUCCUGUGUUUCAGAAAGUUCUAUGUACUUAAUAAGUGCAACUGGUUAUAAUUGUCUUUGAUUCUGUGAAGCUCUCUCAAGGCAUCACCAAUCAGCAAGCGGUCUGUUGGAAGUUCCUUCGAGCACAGAAUUCCGAUAUGCAGAAUUGAAGUAACACAGGCAACUAUAAUUUCUCUGGUGCUACUGGAGCUGCUUGUUCUCCCUUCGAGUUCCGGAUCUUGUACUGGCAGUAACUGUUGGUCUACCACACUGGUGACUUGCUGAUCUUGCAGUGCUAUUUGCACGUACCUAUGAAGGUUGAGGUCUUGCACGAAGUCGCUAUCUGUUGGUCUUUUUCCUGUGAAAAUUUCCAACAAUAGUACUCCGAAGCUGUACAUGUCACCAUAGAUUGAGACUUCGUUACCCAGUCCAUACUCUGUUUGGAACACACAUAUACAGCUACAAUGUUAAAUGAUAGAAAAAGGAGCAAUGCAUUUUACUUGCUUGUGGAUUUCAAUUUUCAAUCAAUCAUGAAAGUAAAAUGCAGUGUACUUGUUAGAACCUAACCUGGAGGAGCAUAUCCAAUGGUUCCCCUUCUUGUAGCCCAACCACUUGAUAUGUCUGAGGGGUUAGUCUGGUCUUGAUGCACAAAUCUUGCGAGCCCAAAAUCACCAACAUGGGCAACCAUGUCAUUGUCAAGGAGAAUAUUGCUUGGCUUGAGAUCACAAUGAACUAUCGGGGUUGGUUUAUAGUGGUGAAGAUAUUCGAGUGCAGAAGCGACAUGAAUGGCAAUGUCUAUCCGUUGGACAAGAUCAAUCCUACUAUGGGUACCAUGUUCCCUGAGACGGUGGUGUAGCCACUGGUCUAGAUUUCCAUUUGGUAGGAAAUCAAAUACAAUAGCUUUGAAAUCAAGGCCACCGGAAUCAAUACUUGAACACACCGUCAAGAUUUUCACAAGGUUCCGAUGUCGAGCACAUCUCAGAGUGUCACAUUCUGCAAUGAAACUUUGUGACGCCCCUCGCUGCUGAAGGUUGAGCACCUUCACAGCGACAACAACUUCUUGGUCAUGGCUUAUCAUUGUUCCCUUGUAAACAGAGCCGAAGCUUCCAAUGCCUAUGAGGUUUUCAGAAGCAAAACUAUUUGUUGCAUUCAUCAAGUUGACAUAUGAAACACUGACAUACUGAUCAUUGAUGAGUGGUAAGGCAUGUUCUGCCUUUAUCAACUUCCUUCUUUGAUGACAUAAUACACAUAGUGCAAGGAUCGAGGAGAUUCCUAGAAAGGCAGUGGCUAUGGAGACUAUCAUGACAAGUUUGUGUGAUCGCUUACUGUUGCUAGUGCUGCCAUUAUCUGAGCAAGAUGGCAAUUUCAGCUGAGCAAUACCUCCACAGAGGCCAGAGUUUCCCUCGACUGAAAACGUGCUGGCAUUAAGAAAUAUUCCUUGCUUUGGGACUUCACCAUCAAAGUUAUUGAAGGAGAUAUUCAGUUCUUCAAGACCUUUCACGUUACCAAAGAAGUCCGGAAUAUGACCAGACAAGUUGUUUCUUGAAAGAUCAAGAACCAAGAGGGCCUUCAGUUGUCCCAAUGACUCUGGAAUUUUCCCUUGAAACAUGUUCCCUUUCAUAAUGCAAUACUGUAAGAUUUGGCAAUCGCCAAGAGAGUUGGGGAUUUCCCCGGUUAACCUAUUUCCAGAUACAUCAAGGGUCAUAAGAUUUUUCAGGUGACCAACUUCCGAUGGCAACGAUCCAGUUAGCAUGUUCUCUCGGAACAUCGCGUAGUAGGAAAGCGUGGGUAUGAGGAGAACUUCUUUUGGUAUUGGACCAGUAAGGCGAUUGUGCUCCAGGGACAGCGCCUGCAAAGGGCAACUACCAAGACUGGAAGGAAUGGGACCCGUGAGCAUGUUGCCAUCAAGGGAUAGUUUGGUGAGCACGGUGAGAUUGCCAAUUGUUGGUGGGAUUUGCCCUGAUAGCUUGUUGCCGAACAAUUGAAGGUUGCUCAGCUUGUUAAGUUUGCCAAUUGAGGUAGGGAUAAUACCAGUAAGGUUAUUGAGAUGCAUAUAAAUGGCGUUCAAGUUGACAAGGUUGCCGAUUUCCUGAGGUAUUUGCCCACUUACCAUGUUGCCCCAUAUGCUCAAGUACUCCAUGCUCGUCGAAAGGUUUGCGAUCGAGCCAGGAAGCACACCUCCCAGCUUGUUUUCAGCCAGGCUAAUUUCCUUCAGAUUGCUGCAGUUGGUCAGACUAUCCAUGAAUCCCCAGUCAGCAUCAACAUUUGCUUCCAGCUGGUUGUCGUCCAGUGUCAGUGCCCGCAAGUUCUUGAGGUGAGUUCCAAGGCAGUCCGGUAUGACUCCGGAGAAGGAAUUCUCCAGCAUCUGUGCCUCCUCCAGCUUGGUGGCGUUGCAGAGCGACGGCGGGAUGGCACCGUGUAGCUGGUUGUUAUCAACGCUGAGCAGCGUGAGUCUGGACAGCCUGCCACUGGCGUUCGGGGGCAGAGUCCCUGUGAGGUUGUUGUUCUGCACGACAAAAUUCUGGAGAGUGGAGAUGUUAAACACGGCGGAAGGUAUGGAUCCUUGGAGCAUGUUGUAGUUGAGGUAGAGGGCAGUGAGAGCUUUGAGGUUGCCAAGAGCGCCAGGGAUGGCGCCGGCAAGGUUAUUGCUUGUGAGGCUGAGGAUGGUGAGGGAGGUGAGGUUGCCAAGGGAGGCAGGGAUUGCUCCAGUGAGGUUGUUGUUGGUGAGGCGGAGGAUGGUGAGGGAGGUGAGGUUGCCAAGGGAGGCAGGGAUUGCUCCAGUGAGGUGGUUGUAGCGGAGACUGAGCUGCUGGAGGCGGUGCAGUGACCCCAGCGCUGGGGGCACCGGCCCCUGCAGCACGUUGUGGCUGAGAUUGAGGCGCUCGAGGGAGGGCGGCAACGGGGAGGGCACGCCGCCGCCGAGGCGGUUCCUGGAGAGGUCGAGUCGUCGGAGGUAGGUGAGGCCCGAGAGGGAUGAAGGAGCCACGGUGCCGGAGCUGGCCAGGCCGAGCCCGCGGAGGUCCAGCGCUGUCACGCGGCCGCGGCGGCGCCCGCGCACCCCGCACGUGACGCCGCGCCACCCGCACGGCGCCGGCGCGGUCAUGUUGCCGCCGCCCCAUGAUGCCAAGGCCCCGUAUGGGUCGUCCGUGAUGAGGGACCGGAACUGCAUGAGCGCACGGUGGUCAGCGCUGGUACCGUCACUUCCCGCGGAGGCCGAUGUCCAUGCUGGAGAUGCAAGGAGGAGGGAGGCCACGAGUAGGAUGGAGCAACGGUGCUCCAUGGCUGUCCGCAUAGCUUGGCUCUGUGCUCCUUGAUGCAGCGAGUAAUAACAAUGCUAUUUAAGAUGCCGAUUCAAUCUCGCUAGUCUCUAAUUUCCAAGUCACCAAGUCAAUGAGGUCUUCUUCCAACUUUGUCCAUAGUGACCAUAUCCACGGGUCAUCCUCCAACAUCCAGUUGGAUGAAAGUUCGGUGACCUUGCUGCGUCGCCAGCCUCCAAAACUUGCCAGCUGCACUGCCGUGACAUUGGUACGGAUUUUCCGAGCAUCCUCCUCGCAAGCUUCUCAGUAAAUUUCGACCUGUAGCAAUUUCGACCUGUGGGGUCACAGUAAAUUUGACCUCGCACUACCGUAGCAGUCCCAACCCACGGUGUCCAUAGUGUCACGUCACAAGGACUGUAGCAAUUUCGACCUGUGGGGUCUCAGUAAAUUUGCGCCGCAUCUUCUCCAACGUUUGCCGCAUCCUGUUCGCUCAGCUUCUUUAUAGGGAGAUGAGGUAUUUAUGUAUGGUUCGAUUGCUCCCCUACCUUAUCUUAACCAUCCUAUCAAUAUACUAUAGCACGGAUCUUAAAUACUGGGAGUUAUGCUAAAAAAAGCUGGUAGAAGUUGUAGGUUUCCGUUAUUUUAGAGGCAUGACGUGACUAUUACAGAGUCCAUGUGAAGAAAACGCCAAGUGGAAGGCUGAAAACAACUGGACCGGCAUCCGUGCAGAGCGUUGCAAAAUUGGGCCGUAGAAGAGGAUCGAACGGGUGCACAAGAACUACAGAUGGGACUGAAAAAAUCAAUUCACGCCUCUAAAAAAAAGAAAAGACAAAAGAAAAAAUGAUUCACGCACAUAGCAGAAUUUUACUUGAGUGAUAGUUAGGAAUUCCGUUUCUUACUUUCUUGCAUUAAGCUAUUCUAUAGUGCUGGACUUUUUAUACGUACUAAUGUAAAGAUACUAUACUCAUAAUAAACUUGAAUAAGUUUGAGGUAUGAUGUGGGGUGUCGGUGUGGAGGUAUCAGAUUAGUGCCUUACAAUAUGCUGUUACGUUCUGUUGAUUCUUUAACUAUUCAUCAUUUCAGCUGUAAAAUGGAGUAAGACAGUUCGUAUUGAAAGUGUACUUUUCUUUGUUUCCAGUAACAUGCUCCAAAAAUUUAGGUUUAACUUGUCUAGUGUGGUCUCAGAACUGCUCCAAACUACACAUGUAAAUAGUCAGCCUCACCCCCAGGAAACAGAGCACUGCUUUGGGCCGAACUACACACUAGAACAGCAAAUACAAUGUUGCUGCACUUUAUAACUGAGUGCUGGCCGUUAAGCCACACCUGAAGUGCUCCAAACUACACAUGUAUCAUACAUAAACCAGAUUUACAAACUGCAAACUUCAAGACUACGGCAGCGACUUACGACUUCCGCAAACCCCUCAUUGUUCAGUAUAGGACUUGAGAUGAAUUGAUCAGAGACUACCAGUAAUGGAUGCAAGUAAAAAAAGAUUUGGUGUCAUCACAUGUCACAUUUUCAGAUCUGAAGUCAAAAUCCGAUCUUCGUCAAACUUCGGUGAGAUUUUCCAGCGAAACUGUGGACUUCCGACGAAAACCGACACCCGAUGGAGUUCCUCUCUUCGAGCUCUACGCCGUGGUGCAGUGGAUUGCGCGAAUCCGAUACCGGCUCCGUCGUCUUCCCCAACUCCGGCGAGCUUUUCCGCCGCCAUUGCUCAUCAUCGGUCGAAGGUGAGCACACCAUCUCAUUCGUCUCAUCGUCCUUGUUCCGUUUUGCUCGUUCAAUCGCGAGUUUAGGAGUCAUUCUCGGCAAAUCCCUCUUUUUUUUUCCCUUUGUUUCCCUGUCUGUUCCUGUUCAUCUGGCCAUGGCCACGGCGCCGUGCAGCCUCGCCGCCUCCUGGGCACCCGCGCCGGGCCACCACCUCCUGCCCCAGCCUGCGCCGCCAACACCGCCGCCGGUGCGCCGCCUUGCGCUACCCCUGCACCACCACCGUUGCCCGUUCGCUCACGCCACCGCCAGUCACCGCCCGCGCCUUGCGCGCCGCUCAACGCACCGCGACACGAGCCGCCACGCACCGCCACCAGAGCUGCACCGCCACCGCCGCGCCUUUGGCCCAGCCCCGGCCGCCGCCGCGGGCAAGCCGGCCGCCCAGAGCAACCGACGCCAUCCAGUCAACCAGCGGAUGGAGGUUGAAGAUGAGAUGGCGAAUUUGCGUCAAAGCCCCUAGAAGAUCCUGUAAUAUUUAGUUUAUCUCCUAUGUCUUGCAACUUUCUCGAAAACCCCCCUGAAUCUUUCGGUUUCCUUGCAAUCUAAUCCAUGUCGUGACUUUUGCAGAUCUAACCCUUAGCUUUAUCCUUUUUGGAGUAGUAUUUCUUGUGUCUUGCAGACCUUUUCUGCUAGUCCUCCCAAUCUAUGGUUACUUACGUUUAGGUUCUUGCAAUCUUGUUUAUCUCAUAGAAUCUAUGUUUUAGCUCCUUUUUAGUCCGUUCAAAUUGCGUUAGGUUCGUGAUGACAUAAAUUACACAUUAGUGGUAAUGUUUUUCUUCUAGCAUAUUGUUGAAAAUAAAGUUAAUAUUAAUUUGAUUAAUACCUGUUAAACAUGUCCUCCUUUGAAUAAAAGGUAUUUAGUGCUAUACACCGUUGUUCAUAAUGGAUGUUAACUAGAUUAAUGCUUACUUCAUAGGCUUUCCUAAAUAAAAGCUAAUAGAGCUACACCUCGCCUUUGCAUGAACUAAAUGUUAAUUUACUUAAUGUUCAAUACUGAAUCAACCUUCCUAAAUAAAAGUUGAUUAGGAUUCUACCCCAGCUUUGAUAAAUAAAUAUUAACUUGAUAAAUAUCAACAUAUGAAUAUGUUUUCAAUAGCAAUUUGACCCACCUAAAUAAUAAAGUAUAUGUGUAGAUGUUUCACAUAGUUUAGACUUUCUAAAGUCAGAUGUUAAAUGGCAUAAUCUAUACUUCAAUAUUUCUAAUUAAAAUAUGAUUAAGUUAUAACUCAGUUUUUCUUCCUUAUUGAUAAAAUAACUGAUGAUAAUAUGAAUGUGUUUUCUAAAUGAAGUUUGUUUAGCUCAACACGAUAUAUAUAUUUAUUCUGUUUUCAUCUUUAUACAGUUAAGUGUGUAAUUGGUCUAAUUUAUACAUGAACAUUUAUAAAUAAAACUUGACUAGGAUUUAUCUCGGUCUUUGCAAAUAAAAUAUAAUUUGCAUUAGUUCCAACUUGGGGUAUUUUCUUUCUGAAAUAUCCUUUACACAUGCUUUGCUAAUUAAAAUAAACUUAGCUUAUAGACCUUUGUGCUUUCAUAAAUGCAAAUCGUUCGAUAGCCGUUCUUUGCCAGCUUUACCCCAGAAUCUCUUUUAUAAUGCUUUGGAUCUUUCCAGUUCUAAUUCAAGCUCAGAUCCAGUUGUUCUAUAAAUCUAACCAAGCUUUUCCUUUUCAAGCAUAGUUUGUGUGCCUUAGUGAUCCAAAUAGUUUAUCUUAGAGUUUCUAUUCUGCCUGGUAGUUCUGUGUCUUACUGAGUAAUUUUAUGCUGCUCAAUUUCUUUGUCUAAUUAAUCCUAUCAUGCUUGUUCGAUAUUUUCCCUGAGAAUCUUGUCUCAUAGGUCUUUCAGCUAUCUCUUUAGACAAAUCUUGCUAGUUCCGUUCUCAGCGUUUCCUAUAUUCGCGUAGUCCUAGAAUUGACCCCUAUCCUCUAGUACGCUCUUUUAAAGCUUUUCUUUUGUUUUGAUGUAUUGUUCUUAGUUGUACUUGUUUGCUGUUUUGUAUGUUUGUGCCGAUGUUUGAUGUUUACUUCGAGUAGAAGGAUCGCUGUUCGGAAGAUUGGAAGAGUAAAAGUUUCAAGAGAGCAAGAACCAAAGAGCAGUAAGAGUAACUUUUUGUUAGAGAAAGGCAAUUGUGUCCUUGUACUUUUAUCCCAAUAACUUUAUUAGUCACUAUUGCAUAUGCUUGCAUUUAAUUUGAUGGGUCCUAUUAAGAUUUGCCUAGUUUCAUAUGAUCAUUCCAUGUCAACCUGGGUUUAUCUUUCUGUUGGGUAGCUAUGCUUAGCUGCUAUACUUGGGAUAUGGUUGUUCUAAUGAAAUCAAUGAUUAAACCUAUUUUUAUUUAUGUUAUACAUUUCUUUAAUACAAGAUCACUGUGUUUAAUCAGAACAUGGAGUGACCACUCAGGAAAACAGUGCUACCACAAGACUAAAUGGCUCUAGUUUUGACUAAAUAAUUAGAAACUCUAGUAUGGGAUAAUCUUACCGAAAGGGAAAGAGGGGAGGCGUUGAUGGGAUAUAGCACUCGCUCUCUUGGGAAGUGGACUUUUCUAAGACACUAUACUCACUAGGGGACUGUUAUGCUUUGCUUCGGCCUGAAACCUUAGCGGGUUACCACUUACUAGCGAAUAUUUGUAAAGGCCUUGUAGCAUCCCUAUGCAAUCACACCUCGGAAGUGUGGUAUGAUGCCUUGCAAAAACCGCAUGGUCGGGUCCAAAGUUCUUUUGAACUUUUACGCGACUUGUGGGUAAAGAUGUGCGACCUCUGCAGAGUGUAAAACUGAUCGAUCAGCCGUGCUCACAGUCAAGAGCGGUCUGGACACUCACAUGAUAAUUGAACUUGAAGAUGGACUUAAACUGUGGUUUAUGAUAUGUCUAUGUUUCUACCAUAUGCUUAUGGCUUAUGGUUAUUAAUUGUGGGUUGGUAUAUACUUGUACCUUAGUAAACGGGUGCUAAUAAAAUUUUACCAACUAAAAAUGUUUAAUGCAGUCAAUCAGUCAGCCUUUCCUUGAUUAAGCCUUGCAUUCAUAUCUUUCCCACACUUGCUGAGUACGACAUGUGCUCACCCUUGCUAUAAUCAACGUUGCUCAGAAGAAGAAGCUGCUAUGAAGUUGUUGUGAAGAUGAUGCUGAGUUCUAGGCGUACGCAAUCCUAGUCGACUGCCCGUGAGUUUGGAGCCUCCGUUUUCAGGGUUUAAGCUGUGUGUCUCUGAUAGUCUCGUAAGUCUUUAUUUGUAUCUUUUUACGUGAUACUAUUGCUGUUAUUCACUAAUGCUGUCACUGUAUGUAUGAAACUAGAUCCUGACAAACAUAUAGGUAGCACUUGGUUUUGUUUUAAAAUCAGGUGUGACAUCCAGUCUCCAUGGUAGAGGUCAAACCUCAGCUUCCCAAAGACCCUGAAGCAUAAGCCCAACGUCAUUGCCUUCAUUCUUUCCAGAUACACGACGACCAGAGCAGAGGACAGUAGGCCAUUGUCCAGGCAACCAGACAUGUUUAAUCUUGGUGCAGAUGAUUAUAGCAUUCAGAGGUCGUAACCCAACAUUGUAGCAUUCAGAGGUGAAAUGAUCGCAGAUAAUUAUGGAUGUAAGUAAAAAUCUUGGUGUCACCAGUCAUCACAGGUCACAUUGCGCUACUUGGGGCGCAUAAACAGAGUUACAGAGGGAACCAGUAGUCUUCCCAGCAGUUGUGAUCAUAGGCAUCAUCAUCCCUUGCCGCCUCUCCACGAAGAGGUUGAACAUCAGCUUCGCAGAGAUCAUGCAGCAUAAGCCCAUUAUUUUUGCCUUCGUUCUCUCCAGUCACACGAUGAUCAGGGCAGAGAGCAAUAGGCCAUUGUCCAGGCAACCAAACAUGUUUAAUCUUGGUGCAGCGAGCACGGAGUUCAUUGCUAACGUUGUAACAUUCGGAGAUGUCAAAGAACUUGAGACGAGGGCAGCCCUUCAGGAUAGCAUAGACGCCUUUGUCGGUCAGGCGGUUGCCUCCCAUCUGGAGAAGCCGCAGCUCGUGCAUGGUUUCUGCAAUGGUGAAGGCGUAUGCAUGCUGAGAUAACUGAAAUGAUUCAUGUACGCAUCUUAGGCAUCUUGUUUCAUUCCACUUUCCGAAACAUUCAGAAAUAUUUGUUUUAGUGACUUGUCUUCUCCCUUACAUCUUAGAUAUCGAGCCUUAUUCAUGAUGACGUUUUGGACGAUGCUGAUACUAGGCGUGCCAUGGACUCAUUGAACUUCAAAGUGGGGAAGAAAGUAAUAUCAUAUACUUUUUCUACAAUGGCUAACUUGUAUAUUUAGGGCCAAAUAGUUUAAUAUGGCAGUUAUUUCAGUGGAAGGUAAUGGUGAAGAACUAGAACUGUCGCUCAGGCCCUCUCUAAUAGGCGGUGGGUCACUGGUAUCAGGGGAGGACUCAUUGUGGAAGUCCUGACGGAGUACCUAUUAUUAUGGGACCAAUUGGAUGGUGUCCAGCUGCAACAAGAUACCCCUGACCAAUACAUUUGGAAGCUGACCCAAUCUGGUUUAUACUCCAGUAAGUCUGCAUAUGAGGCCUUUUUUGUGGGAUCUAUUAAGUUUAUUCCUUGGAAAAUAAUAUAGAGAAGUUGGCCCCAUACGCUGUAAAUUUUUCAUUUGGUUGGCUAUUAAACAAUGACUUUGGAUUGCUGACAGACGGGCCAGUAGAGGCUUACAACAUCCUUGAGCCUGCUUGCUUGCUCAUCCUGCGUUGUUCGAGAAAAAAAUCAUAAAUUUUUAAUGGAAAAGGAAACUCAAGGGAUCUUAAUUUAAAGUUGUAUUCUUAAAUAUGGACAUAUAAACAUGUGGAGCCCUUUUUUUCCGUAGUUCUUAGAGACCAAAAUAUAAAAAAUUUCUUAUUUAAUGUGCAAGUAAGCCCAUUUUUCUGUUUGAUACCUCUGAAAAUGAAUAAUGAUAAUAGUUGUAUCUGUUUAUUUUCCACAUCUUCUCAUCUCAUAAGUAUGGACCAUGUUCUUCUAAAAGAAAUAAAAGGAAGCAACGCCAAGCCAUGCUGUAAACUUGGCAAAAUGCAAGUCAAACUAUAUCUUGAGUCAUAUUCACAAUACCUUAUAACAGUUAGUAAAGCUGAUGCUACCCUGCAGCUUGCAGUAUUGGCUGGCGAUUUCCUACUUUUCAGGGCAUUUUCUGCAGCUGUGUCUCUUGACAAUACUGAGGUGCGAUGUUUCUCCUUUGUAAAGGCUAACAAGUUAUAUUAUUUUCCUUCAUCUUUGUUUGACUUUGUUGGGAAUAUUGCUAUCGAGGAUAAAAUAGACUAUGAGUGGGGGCUAAAAAAAUACAACUGAAAGAACAAAAUCACUUUAGUUUUUAGCAUGUGAGCUGCCAUGUCACUCUGCAUCUUCGCCCAUUUCUUUCAACAUCAGAUUAUGUCAGUUCCUUUCCAGUCUGUAUCUUUUGCAUGUUCAUAACGUCAAGAUACCGAAAUUAUUUUUAAUUCUGCAGGUUGUAUCAUUACUAGCAACUGCUGUAAAUAAUCUUGUUACUGGUGAGCUUAUGCAGAUGUCAAUAACUCCAGCACAGCGCUGCAGGUACAUAUCCUAUUCAUUUUAUCAUUUUCUUGCAUCAAGCUGUUGCACCCAUAAACUUCGAUAAGUUUGAGAUAUGAUGUGGGGUCAGUGUGGAGGUAGCAGAUUAGUGCCUUAGAAUGUGUUGUUAUGCUCAGUUCAUUCUUUAACUCUUCAUUAUUUGGCCUGUCAUAUGUGUGCAAGUAGCUGUUUAGCUUAGAGUGGAUAUGUACUGACGUUACUUUUCAUCAACUAUCAUCAAAUCAAAGUCCAUGAAAAGUAUUCACUACUUAAUAUAAUGCCAAUCACAAUUAAAUAGAUCAUUGGUGCUAAUCUAUCUACUAAAAACUUGGAUAACCUUGUUCUGGAUUGAGCAGAUCCAAGAACCAUGUCCACCCCGACGACGAUGACGACCACAAGAGCCGUGUGGUCCCCUCCGUCCACGACACCAUGCUGCUCCAUGAGGUCGCCGCUAUCCUAAACCUACACGCCCAGGCUGUUGCGGUCCAAAACAUCCGCAACCUCAUCUUGAUCGUCCUCGACGUCAGCUCCACCAACUAUGCUUGCUGGCACGAGCAGUUCUUGCUCAUGGUCGGAAAGUUCUCCCUCGACGCCCACAUCUUUCAGGACCGUCCACUCCCUGGUCAUCCAGAUUCGGCGCGAAUGGAUUGCGUCAUCCGGUCUUGGAUCUACGGCACCCUCUCCAACGACCUCGCCAACACCGUGAUGGUGCUCGGCACCACCGCCCGCUCCGUCUGGCUUGCCGUUGAAUCCCAGUUUCACGACAACCAUGAGACUCGCGCUCUCCUCCUCGCCACCCAGUUUCGCACCUUCGUUCAAGGCGACCUGUCCAUCACCAACUACUGCAAGCGCCUGAAGGCCAUGGCGGAUGCCCUCGGCGAGCUCAGCGAGCUCGUCAUCGACCAGUCCCUCUUCCUUAACGUCAUCCGCGGCCUCAACACCAAGUAUACCGCCAUCGGUCUCCAUCUUCGUUGCGGUCGCCCGUUCUCGACGUUCCUGGAGGGCUGCAAGGACCUGCUGCUCGAGGAGCUCACCUCCACGCAGCCGUCCUCGGAGCACACCACCGCUCUCCUCGCUGCUGGCUCAGGCACCCCCACGCAUUCGGCCCGGCCGCCCCAGCCCCAACAGCAGCAUCGCUCCGGGAGCGGCUCCUUCAAGCCUCGUCGCAGCAAGCGCAACUUCGGCCGCCGCACCUCCAAGGACGGCAACUCCUGCAGCGGCGGUGGCGCCGGCCAGUGCCCCCCCCUUCCGCAGUGGCGCCAAGCAGGGCGCCUCCCAGGGCUCCUCCGAUGUCGCCCCCUGGCCCUCCUUCUAGAACCCGUGGACUGGGGCCAUCCAGAUGUGGCCCGGUGCGCGCGUUCAGCAGGCUGGGGCGCACCCUCAUGCCAUGUUGGCCCCGUACUCCACGCAUGCUAGCAGAUGCAGCUCCAUGUGUUCCAAGCGGCCCAGUUCGAGGCCACCCAGCUGCAGGCCACCCAGUUGCAGGCUGCCCAGGCGCAGGCCUAGACAUACCAGGCUGCCCUAGCACAAGCCCUCCAGCAAGCGCCGUGUGGCGGAACCGUCCAACUUAAACUGGUUUAAAUGCGCCUAAUUGCUGCCGACGCAGCAAUUAUCCGAAAUGCACUUAAAACAGUGUAAGUCCGGUCGUCCGUCGAGUGUCCCUAGGACUCCUCGAAAGAUCCACGUUGUGUUUCAUAGCCAUACAUCAGGAUAGUAUCCGCGAUGGGAUAGCAUCAACAAAUAUUACAUUAUUACAUACAUAUAAAAGGUACGAGUUAUUACAGAACAUAGAUUGAAGCAAACUUAACAGUGCAGUGUUAGACAGAGUUCUAAGAUUUAAAACAUAAACGGUUCGGGAGGAGAUGAGCAUUUAAAAACUUCUUCUUAUGGGUAUUGUGAGACUCAUAACAAUACCCUAAGGCUUCGGGGCUUCCUCCUCUGUAGACUCCUGUGGUGCUUCUGAAAGAAAGCCACAAGGGAUAACCCUGAGUACGGGGUACUCAGCAAGUCUUACCCGACUAACCAAUAUAAUAGCUUUUCUUUGGAAGUAUAUGAUAGCUUUUGGUGUGCUUGGCUGUUAUAUUUUUGCCGAAAAAGCUUACUACAAGUAAUGCCUUAGUUUUAUCUUUUAUUUGGGUUAAGUCAUUACCUAACCAUUCUAAAUGAUGAGAAGAAAAUGAACGCAACAAUAUAUAUUAAGUCAUACAUCAAACAUUAUCAGAAAUAUAUAUCAUUCAUGAAUUUAUACUACGAUGCUCAACAGUGAUCAAGUGCAUUCAUAACCGAGAAUUGCGGCGAUCCGGAUCAAUUUACAUCCUGCAGGAGAGUACCCUGAUCACCAGUUUUAUACGACUGUCCAGGUCGUACAUAACGACUUUUCGAUUAGUAAAGUCAAUGAUUGGGAAUAAGACUACCCGGACCCAGGGACGCACCCCCACAUGGGACCCCACGUCUGGCCCGAUCACCAUGUGAGUUUCAGGCUACGCCCCUGCCAAUCUCCAGCACGUCAAGCGCGAGUACGAAGUAUUCCCGAUCAGAGAGUUUACUAACCUACUGGGCUUUACUGGUCCCAUACCCAGUAAGUGAUCAGAUGCUUAUCACUUGAUCAAAGGUUAAGACAACGAAUCGGGCCUUAACCAAUUAAUCUAGCAGACAGAACUACAUCUCUAGUUUUUAUCCGCUUCCCAAUUUCCAAGUCAUCUUCUCAUAAAUAACAUGUAUGACUCAAAAGUUUUCCUUAAGGUUGGUAAACCAAGCAUUUAAGCAACUAAGCAAUUCUAGACUUGGGUUAUCUUCUAAGGUUUGAACAAGUGGCAAAGAUGUCCUUAAAACAAGGUAUGAACAUGCACAAGAUUAGGUUUCAAGCAACUCCUAGACUUAGUGCAUACAUAUCACAAAUAACUGAAUAAAGGACACAUGAAAUAUUGACUUCAAAAUAAUAGGUGUAAUGCACCGGGGCUUGCCUUGUUCGCUUAAAAAGUUAGUAUUGUCCGAUGGGUUGACCUCGCAGGGGACCAAUUCAAAGACUUCUUCGAACUCCGAAGAUCCUUCUGAAAAUUCCAAGUAAUCUCCUUCUGGUGCUUCGGGGUCUAUAGCACAACACAUGCAGGGGUUAGGAAUGCAAAAUUUUGAAUAAAAAACUAUAUAACUUUCCUUCAUGAUAAAGUUGCAAGCCAACAAGGACUAUACAGCUUAUCAUGAUAAAGUUGCAAGCCAACACACAAAACCCAAAAAGAUUAGCCCACAAUUUUUAUUUCUUACCUAACCUUACUUAAGGCUUUUCUUUUAUUUUUAGAAAAGGUUAUAAUUAUUUUCUAACUUGAAAAUCUAAUUUCCUAUGAGUUAAGAAUAAUUUGUGAUUAAGAAAAUGUUAUUCCAUAUUUUAUACAUUUUAUAAGGAUUAAGUAUUUAUUUAAUUACCUUAAAAGAAAGGCAUUAAAUAAAUACCCAAAAAAAUUUAUUAUUUUUCUAGGGUGUAAAAAUUUUAAUGCAUAAAGGAAAAUAAAACAAGCCUAACAAAAUUGGUUUCACUAAUUUUGGACACUCCUAGAAAUUUCUGUGAUUUAAAUGGUGAAAUUCGGAUUUAAACUAAUUACUUUCUAAAGGAAAUCUAAAUUUUCCCGAAAACACCCCCAGGCAACUUUUCUCAUGCGGCUCGACCCUACCCUCUCUCACUUGCACUGGGCCCGCGGCGCGGACCCACUCCUUCUCCUAUUCCUCUUACCCGCCGGCCUUUUUCUCCUCCUGAUGGGCCCCUUAGGCCGUUUUCUUUUUCUUUUUCCUUUCCCCGGUCCGUUACCGGCCCAACAGCCCCUUUUUCCUUUUUCUCUUUUCCCGCGGCGCGGCCUGCCUUUCCUUCCGGGCCUCCGGCCCCUUCUCCUCCACGGUCGACCGCGCGCGCGCUCCUGGGCCUUUAAGGCCGCGGCCCAACUGGCCUCCGCGUCCUACCGGCCGACCCCUUCUCCCUCUCUUCCCCACUGACGCGCGGGCCCAAGGCUCCAGCGCCUUCCUCUUCCUCCCGCCAAAACGUGCACGACAGGGGGCGGCGCGACUCACCGGCCGGCGCCCUACCGGCGGCGGGACUAGGUCAGGACAGCACCUCUGUGCCUUCACGCACCCGUGCGCGGCAACAGCUCCUCGGGAGAUGGCCGGAGCCAUUCCCUCCACGGCGGCAGGCGGCGGCACCUACGGCCAGUCGCCGCUAUUCACGACGACGGCACAAACCACCCCAACGACUACCACGACACCAUCCUAGCAUCCUAAGGACCUGCCUAAGACCACCCAAGAAGGAAGAGAACAAGCGCAAGGGGGUGCUCACCGUGAGCGGGAGGCGCGGCGACGGCGGACAGAAACGGCGGCGGUCUAUGGCGUGCCGGCGAAGAAGCUGGGCAACAAGCCGCUAGGGUUGCUGGUGGGGUGUGGGCGGAGGUGUGGACGGAAGGAAUCGAUGGGAGGUAUGGUGUGGUGGGAGUAUUUUGCUCGGCGGCGGCAGCUCGGACAGAGGAAGCGGCGGCGGUAAAAAGACGGCGGUAGAAACGGCGGCGCGGGAGCGGUAAAUAUACGAACGGUUUACCGCGCGCAUGGGCAACACCGUGGCCUACUCGUAGGCUUGCGUGGUGAUGAGGUGGCGUAGCCGCUGUGCUGGUGAGCGACCGAGAGCGGCGGCGGCGACACGUCCUGCCUGCUCUGCUGCUCUUCCCCUUCCUAAUCUCCGGCGCCCGAAAAUUCAGAGCUUCCCCACGGUUGAUUUCCAAUCCGACGGUGCAUAUGUGUCUUAACCAAAGUUGUAGAUAAUCUCGAGCUUUCCAAUUCAUCUAUAAACCUUUGCCCAAGAUAAACAUCCAAAAGUCUUCAAAUUUGAAUUUUUCUCGGGCAAAUGACUGAACCCUUUUACCCUUCCAUUCAGUUUCGUCAGUCAUUCGAUGUGAUCAUUUGCCCGACUUAGUGAUUCAUUUCGGUGGUCCAAAUCCUCUUUCUGUAGUCCAACUUCUUCCCAAUUAUGUUCUACAACAUCCAGGGAUUCCAUUUUGCCCAUAAUCACUUAUACCCCUUGCACUAGAUUGUGUUGAAUUUUGCUCUAAACUUGCUUACAUGCUACUGUUUCAGACUUAGUCAUUUCAGCAGGACAGUCAACCCGUGACCAUGUGCUGACUUUGAGCUCAAAUUCGAAAUUGUUCCCUUCCCUGUUCCUGGCCAACAACACCCAAAUCUAGUAGUCCAAAGUCCACACUUUAACAUGGUAUAGUUGUCCUGAUCCACUUACUUGAAAAAUUCAUCAGAAUUUAAUUUUGAAAAUGGACUCUGCUGCUGUUUUUCUGAAUUCCUGUUUUCGGACGAUGAACAGUAAGUUCAGUUUUCCAUUUUCUUUCUUUGAUUCUUUUGAGAUAUUUUGGAUCAGUUCUGUUCCAAAUUCUUGAUCCUUAAGUUCUAGUCACUCUUAAACUUUUAUUCCAUAUUUUUGCCGAAUUUUUCUGAAUUUCAAAUUCAAAAUUCAAAUUUCGGCCAAAUUUGACCCGAAUUUGAUUUUUGGCCUAUUUCUUUUUCUUUUCUUCUCGAAUUACUUCUAAUUCUUCAAAGUCACUUUGAUGAUCAAAAUGGCAGGUGUUACACGCCGUACCAGCCCUCUGUCCACUUGAGCACCACCGCCAGCACACUGUUGUGGGAUUAGCAGUCCCUCGCCUCCACCUUCAUCACUAUGAUGCUGAACCAGCCGCAGCAGCAUGAGUGGUACUUCGACUAAGGUGCUACCUCCCAUAUGACCUCUGAUGCUCAUUCUCUUUUGCACAAUUUCACCCAGUGGUACCCUUUUCCUUCAGCUAUUGUUGUCGAUGACGGUUCUUUACUCCCUAUCACUUCUACUGGCACAACGAUUCUUCUCGGUUCUUUGCAUCUUAAUAAUGUCCUUGUUUCCCACAAGCUUAUUAAGAAUCUUAUUUUCGUGCGCCAGUUUACUACCGAUAAUAACUGCUGAAUUUGACCCGUCUGGUUGUUCUGUGAAGGAUCUUCGAUCCAGGAACGUGAUCGUCGGGUGCAAUAGUUCGGGUCCACUAUACCCCUUGCACCUCCCUGCUGCUGCUCUCACUGUUGGCACCACCUCUACAGCCUGGCAUCACCGUCUCGGCCAUCCCGGGAUGGAAUCCCUUUCCCGUCUUGCGCACAUUUUACCAUCAUGUAAUAAAGACAUUAGCUCGUCUCUCUGUCAUGUGUGCCAGCUCGGACGACACACCCAUCUUCCCUUUCAGGUGUCCUCCUCUCGAGCCUCCAGGAAUUUUGAUCUUUGGACGUCACCUAUUCCUAGCAUCUCGGGUUUUAAAUACUACUUGAUUAUUCUUGAUGAUUGCUCCCAUUUUUCUUGAGUUUCCCCUGCGAUUGAAAUUUGACACGUUUGAUACCCUUGCUAACUUCUUUUCCUAUGUGACUAUACACUUUGGCGCCACCAUUAAGGCCGUCCAGUGCGACAACAAUCAUGAGUUUCACAACUCCAGCGCCCGCACGUUCUUCCUCUCCCAUGGCGUCCACUUCCGCAUGUCAUGCCCAUACAUGUCGCCGCAAAAUGGUCGAGCUGAGCAGAUCAUUUGCACUAUGAACAACAUCCUCCACUCCCUCCUCUUCCAAGCAAGGCUUCCCCCUCACUAUUGGGUCAAAGCUCUCCACGCCGUGACAUAUCUGCUCAACAUGCUACCUACCAAGACCCUUGCUUUCCGCACUCCACAUGAGGUGUUGUACGGCACUGCACCGUCCUAUGAUCACCUCCGCAUCUUUGGUUGUAGAUGUUAUCCCAACAUUUCCACCACAGUCAAUCACAAGUUAGCACCAUGGUCCACCUCGUGUAUUUUUCUUGGAUAUUCCGCUCAUCAUAAAGGGUACCGCUGUUUUGACCUUGGUUCUAACUGAAUCAUCAUCUCCCGACAUGUCACCUUUGAUGAGUCCUCAUUUCUCUACGCUGAGAAUUCCUCUCCACCUUCCCUGGUGGAUUACAGUUUUUUGGAAGUUGCUACUGACCCUGUGCCGGUUCCCAAAAGAACGUUACAACCCGCUUUGCCUGCAGGUCCCACUGGCGCCGUCAGCACCCCCCAUCGUGCCCCCUACGGUGCCCCUCCUGACGCCCACUGGCGCCGUCCCGGUGCCUCUUGGUGUUGCCCCGACGCCCCUGCUAGUGCCUCCCAAUGCUGCCUCGACGCCCCCUAGCGUCGCCCCGGCGCCCUGGCACCCCUACUGGUGCCCUUCCGCGCCCCUGGCACGUCCUCCGCCCCCGCUGGCGCCCUUGGUGCGUCGCCAGAGCCCACCGACACCUCCUAGCGUCACCUCGGCACCCCUGCUAGCGGACCUGGAGUUCCCGCUGGCACCCCUGGCGCGUCCCCUGGAGUUCCCGCUAGUGCCCCUGGAGUGUCGUCGCCUGGUGGGUCCCUAGCACUGGCUUGCCCCCCGGCUCCAUGGGUCCCUCCUAGCUUCAACUCGACGCCACUCCGCUUCAUCUACACGCACCGCUCUGCCACCCCUCAUCUCCCAUCACCGCCGUCAGCCUUUGAUGCCGGCCCCACCACCAGCGCACCAGGCACCGAUCCAAGAGCUCGGGCUCCAGUCCUUCCCAAAGGAGCUGUCGUUGUUCCGCCCGUCAUCAACCAGCAUGGCAUGACCACCCGUGCCAUGCUUGGGUUCCGUCAGCCUAUUCUAUUCCACACUGCGCCAUUGUCUCUGGUUCCAAAGUCCUUCCACAGUGCCCUCAUUGAUCCUAAUUGGCGGGCUACUAUGGAAGAUGAGCAUGCGACGCUUCUCUAGAACAACACAUGGGAGCUUGUGCCUCGUCCGUUGCAUGCUAAUAUUGUCACUGGUAAGUGGAUAUUCAAGCACAAGUUCAAUUCGGAUGGCUCUCUUGAUUGGUAGAAGGCUCGAUGGGUUCUUUGCAGCUUCACUCAGUGGCCAGGGGUGGACUUGGAUGAGACUUUCAGUCCGAUCGUCAAGCCUGCUACUGUCUGGACAGUUCUAUCGCUGGCACUCUCUCGUCACUGGCCUGUUCACCAACUACAUUCAAGAAUGCAUUUCUCGAUGGCACUCUUUCCGAGACUGUGUAUUGUGCUCAGCUUGCUGGUUUUGAGGAUUCUGCUCAUCCAGACUUCGUUUGCCGCCUCAACAAGUCUCUGUACGGCCUGAAGCAAGCUCCUCGCACCUAGCAUAGUUAGUUUGCAGCUUAUUAUCAGUCUGUUGGCUUUGUGGAGGCCAAGUCUGACACCUCGCUGUUUGUGUUUCACCGAGGCACCGAGAUCGCGUAUCUCUUGCUCUAUGUUGAUGGCAUUGUACUCACGGCUUCUUCCCCAAUGUUGCUGUGAUAGAUUCUUCAGGCUUUGCAGCGGGAGUUCUCUAUGAAGGAUCUUGGGCCUCUUCAUCACUUCCUGGGUAUGCAUAUGCAGCCUGUUGUUAGUGGAGGAUUUCUGUUGUCUCAGCGGCAGUACAUGCUUGAUAUCCUGGAUCGUGCUGGCAUGGCUGAGUGUAGGCCGUGCUCCACUCCCAUUGACACCAAUCCCAAGGUGUCGGCUGCUUCAGGUGCCCCUGUCACCAAUGCCUCGGAUUUUCACAGUCUCGCCGGCGCUUUGCAGUAUCUCACUUUCACCAGGCUGGAUAUUGCCUACGCCGUUUAGCAAAUCUGUCUCCACAUGCAUGAUCCGCGAGAGCCUCAUCUUGCUGCCCUGAAGCGCAUCCUCUGGUACAUCCGUGGCACUCUCCAUCUCGGCCUACUACUGCGUCCGUGUUCAGGUCAGGAUUCACUGGUGGUAUACUCUGAUGCUGAAUGGGCAGGCUGUCCAGACACUCGCAAAUCCACUUCCGGCUAUACGGUCUUCCUUGGCGACAACUUGGUUUCUUGGUCCUCCAAGUGAUAGCACACCGUCUCCAAGUCUAGUGCCGAAGCUGAGUAUCGCGUCGUGGCCAAUGCCAUCGCCGAAGCUACCUGGCCGUGCCAGCUUCUUCAGGAGCUCCAUGCCCCACUUCGCUGUGCCUCCUUGGUGUAUUGUGACAAUAUCAACGCGGUCUACAUGUCCUCCAACCCGGUUCAGCAUCAGCGCACCAAACAUAUUGAGCUCGAUCUUCACUUGUUCGGGAGGGUGUUGCUAUGGGUGACGCUCGAGUACUACAUGUUCCCACAUCAUCUUAGUACGCCGACAUCUUCACCAAGGGGUUGCCUUCUUCUGUAUUCACAGAGUUUAGAUCCAGUCUAAACAUUUGUGGUACCGACGAUUAGACUGCGGGAGCGUGUUAGAAUAUGUGUAAUUGGGCUAGAGCCCGGCUAGGCCCAUGUGCUGCCGGCCCCUUGAUAGGCGCCUGUGCCAUGCCACCGGCCCCAGUCAGGUCAGGCCCAGGGUUUAUUGUAGGAUAGGCAAGGGCUCCUCCUAACCCUAGGACGCUAUCCUAUGUAUAUGUACAUGCUAUGCACCUUCAUAAUCAAUCCACAAUUUCCCUAGCCAUAUUUGCUUUCAAAUGUGACACCUGUUCAUGGAUGCUUGUACAACAUGGACUAUUAUUUGCAGAAGACAUACUACAAGACAGCUGCAAAGCUAUUGCUGUCCUCGCUGAGCAAACAACAGAAGUACAAGCUCUUGCUUAUCAGUAUGGCAGACACUUGGUGUGUUGUAUUUUUCCUUAGACAGAAGCUGUUCCUAUUUUUGCUAGACAAAUGAACUGUUAAAAUGACCUACACUCUCUCUUCCAGGGCAUAGCAUAUCAGUUGAUCGAUGACAUCCUCGAUUUCAAAGGCACAUCAGCUUCACUAGGCAAAGCCUCCUUGUCUGAUAUCCAUCAAGUAAUACAGUUAUUCACUCAAUAUUUCCUCAGUAGUAUUUUACUUUUUAAGAUAUCAAUGACAUGUAAGGAAUCAUAUAUGCCCUGUAUGGACAGGGAAUUGUGAUAGCUCCCAUACUUUUUGCGAUGGAAGAAUUCCCUGAACUGCAUGAGAUUGUUGAAUAGGGAUUUGAUGACCCUUUAAAUGUUAUAAGACGGUACGUAUUGCAAGUGUAUUUUUUUUUGAAAGGAAAGUGUACUUUUCUUUGUUUCCAGUAAUAUAAUGCAACUAUUUGGGUUGUGAAAUGCUCAUAAAUUGUCUAGUGUGGUCUCAGAACUGCUCAAUUUUGCCCUCAAAUACCUUUCAAAAAGUCAGGGAAUCGAGAGGACGAGGUCUGUUGCUGCUGAACAUGCAAAACUGGCAGCGGGCGCUAUCGAUGAUCUUCCUGAUAGCGAGGAUCAAGUUGUGCUUAACUCGAGGCAAGCGCUCAAAGAUCUUACUCAAAAGUUCAUGAGAAGAACAAAGUGAAUUGGUGAAGCAGAAAAUGUAGUAUUGGUUAAACAUGCCAGCAGGCAGUAGAAUCCAUAAUGAUGCAUCAUUUCUUUUAAAAAUGUAACAAUGCAUCAUGCAUGUUUUGGUUGCUGAACAGUUUAUUAUUGGUGACUGAUGAGAACUUCAGCAGGUUUGGAACAAGAGCUUUACCUCUGUUUUCCCUCCAUUUAUACCAUUCAUCUAUUUCUGCAGAUUGCCUGAUGACAGGCAUAACCGCAUAAUGCCAGAGUAGAAGUUGGAUGCAAAAAAGUUGCCUUAUGAGUAUGUAUUAUGUAGAUAGCAAAACAACAUAUCUCUGAAUAAUUGGAGUAAAACAUUAAUAGAUCUUCAAAGAAACACACACUACGAUCUUUUCAUAUGAAAAUCAUUCUCUUUAAUUACAUGGGCCACAUCAUAUAUUAAGAUAAUCUAACAAUGUACUCUAGACCCUGAUGUGCAGGUGGAUGCGAUACUGGCGUCCAUUGUGUAUGCAACGUCAAUCCUAAGCUUUCAUGUCUUUUUCAAAGUAAAAAGCGCAACACUUGGUUGAGUGCAGUCAAGGACCUGGUAUCUGUUCUGAUCACGGAAUACUGUAAAAUGGUUCUGGAUAUGGAAAUCCUGUGUUUCAGAAAGUUCUAUGUACUUAAUAAGUGCAACUGGUUAUAAUUGUCUUUGAUUCUGUGAAGCUCUCUCAAGGCAUCACCAAUCAGCAAGCGGUCUUUUGGAAGUUCCUUCGAGCACAGAAUUCCGAUCUGCAGGAUUGAAGUAACACAGGCAACUAUAAUUUCUCUGGAUCUUGUACUGGCAGUAACUGUUGGUCUACCACACUGGUGACUUGCUGAUCUUGCAGUGCUAUUUGCACGUACCUAUGAAGGUUGAGGUCUUGGACGAAGUUGCUAUCUGUUGGUCUUUUUCCUGUGAAAAUUUCCAACAAUAGUACUCCGAAGCUGUACAUGUCACCAUAGAUUGAGACUCUGUUACCCAGUCCAUACUCUGUUUGGAACACACAUAUUGAGCAAUUAAAAGAAGACUAUCAGCAAUGCUACAGUUACAAUGUUAAAUGAUAGAAAAAGGAGCAAUGCAUUUUACUUGCUUGUGGAUUUCAAUUUUCAACCAAUCAUGAAAGUAAAAUGCAGUGUACUUGUUAGAACCUGACCUGGAGGAGCAUAUCCAAUGGUUCCCCUUCUUGUAGCCCAACCACUUGAUAUAUCUGAGGGGUUGGUCUGGUCUUGAUGCACAAAUCUUGCGAGCCCAAAAUCACCAACAUGGGCAACCAUGUCAUUGUCAAGGAGAAUAUUGCUUGGCUUGAGAUCACAAUGAACUAUCGGGGUUGGUUUGUAGUGGUGAAGAUAUUCGAGUGCAAAAAGCGACAUGAAUGGCAAUGUCUAUCCGUUGGACAAGAUCAAUCCUACUAUGGGUGCCAUGUUCCCUGAGACGGUUGAAUGGAAGAAGCAGUGGAACCUCAGCCUCCUGCGGAAAAAAUGUGGCGGACAGAGAGCCAGCGGCGAGGGCAACAAGACCCGUAAGCCAGGCUGAGUUUCCUUUCAAGGAUUUCCGAUAGAUAUUUUUUUGAGCUCUUUUACGGUAUAUAAUACUAUGUUAUAUUGGUGUUUUAAAAGGACUAGUAUAAAAAUAUCUGAUGACCAAGAUUAAUUGUAUACUACUCAAAACUUCACAUGUGGUAUGGGUAAAGGGUAGUAUACAUAAGUGGUAUAGGUAGUAUAAGGGUAUCAAGAAAAAAGAACACAAAUAACACCACAAUAAUAUUUUUUUGAUACUAGCAUAAAGUCUACAAAAUCUUUCCAUUUGGAAUCUCACUUUUUACAAUGUUAUAAUUACUAAAUUAUUCAUGGACAGUUAGAUCUUCUAUUCUAUAUACCACUAAAUAGUAGUAUUGUGUACCGUAAAAGAGCUCUAUUUUUUUUCCGACUACGUGCAAUUUUGUUAAUAGAACUGAUAGAAGAGGCAGCACCAUUGAGAAAGACUACCAGUAACCAGUCCUUUAUAGCGGGAACCUGCACCGAUCCAUGGCGAAGUGGCUCAUGCGAAACAACCAUAGCAAAUCAUCAGCCAGCAUGUUGCUCUUGAGAAUCAGAUGUUAGAUUUAAUCUUGUUGUACGUGUUGCUUUAUGUUCAGUGCAUCGUUGAGUUCAAGUUAGUAGUGUCCGUGUCUGUCGUGCAGCAUGGCGUAGUGGCCAGGACCUGCAAGUGCAAGCAGAUCGGCAGCCAUGACGUGAGUGUGAGUAUGUGUUGUGGUGUGCGGCCAGGUGCCUGGUCGAGACAUGGCGAGUGCUUAGGAGAAAAUCAGCAGAUGCAUGUGUUUGUUAGUCUGAUCAGUCAUGCAGGCGCACGUUGGCUUGGAGUUGUAGCCAAGUCUAAGUGAACGAGUCAUGGCGAGAAAAGUGGAUCAGAUAGCUCAUGCAUGUAGUCGUUAGUGGUGAUCUGCGUGUAGAGAGAUGUGCCUCGCAUGUAGGAAGGUGAUUAGUGACCACGGGAGAGUUUAGCCGGGUCGCGCGGCCAGACGUGGCUCAACCAGUGUGUGCGUGCGUGUUUAUUUAAGUCGUUGUAAUUACCGCGUUCAUGAGGCUGUGGUGAAGAGAAUAGAAGUGCUGUGACAGCUGCCAGGAGGCAGAGGCGAGGAUUGCAGGAACAUGCGCCUUGUGGCCUGCGUGAUCAGGAACCAGAAACUGCAGAUCACCUCUUCUCCAGGUGCUCAUUCGCUAUGCAAGUGUGGCAUCAAGUCAGUGCAGUACUGAACCUACACAACGCCAUCCCGGCAAAUGAAGUCCGGCUGUUAGACUAGUAGCUCAGCAAGAGAAGCGGUGUCCAUUCAGGGCAAAGGAAAGGCUUCGACUCGGCGUUUAUGGUUGUUUCAUGGAAAAUAUGGAAGGAACACAAUGAAAGGGUGUUUGUAAGAUCACCACCAAAAGGUGCCUCACAGUUGCUGCACGAGAUCAUUCAGGAAGGGCAACUCUGGUGAGCCUCCGGUACAAAACACCUAGCUGUCGUAGGCUGGCCGGUGCCAUCAGGUGUUUUAGAUCAGUAUUCUGAUCUCAGCCUAUCUGUACCUUUUGUAUUGUCGUUGUGGUGGUGUAAUGUAAGCUAAAAUAUACCUAAACUCGUGUGCGUACGCCUGUAUAGGCUCGUGAUGUAUGAAAACUUUUUUCUUUUAAUAUAAAGAUACACAGUUCUCCUGCGUAUUUAGAAAAAGAAAGAAUAGAAGUGGUGUGCAGUGCCGUGAAAAAGAGAUUUCUCGCGUCUGCCUCUGCUUGUGAAUGUGUACGUGUUUACCAUACACCUGAGCGAUCAUAGAGUUUCGUGAGUUCGUGAGGAGACUGGUAGAUCCACCAGCAGCUGCUGCUGCUGCUCUUCGCCACGGCAACCAACAUUGCAACCGCAGAAACGUCUUCGAGAGGCCAUGGGGGCGACGAGAGAGGCACCGGUUGAGGGUGGUCGCCCUGGACCUCUUCUCCCAGGGGCUCACCGGCACCAUCUCCCCUGUCAUCGGCAACCUUACCUUCCCGCGUUCACUCAACCAGAGCUUCAACAUCCUUCAAGGCGAGAUCCCUCCCACCAUCGGCUCCCUAACGCGCCUCCGGCUCAUUGACCUGAGCACAAACAUGCUCACUGGUGUCAUCCCAAGGAACAUCAGCCGCUGCACCAGCCUGGAUACGAUGCACAUCAAUAGCAACAAGGGGACACGGGGAAGCAUACCGGAUGAGAUUGGCAACAUGCCGUCUCUCUCAUAUCUAGUGCUGUUCAAUAACAGCAUCACCGGAACCAUCCCAUCGUCUCUUGGGAACCUUUCCCGGUUGAUCGAGUUGUCCUUGUCGUUGAACUACCUUGAGGGAUCAAUCCCUUCAAGCAUUGGGAACAAUCCAUAUCUCACUUUCCUUCAGCUCUCUGUUAAUAAUAUCUCUGGUUUGCUUCCUCCUUCCCUGUACAACCUGUCAUCUCUUAAUUACUUUUACACAGCAGACAACAAUCUGCAUGGCCGUCUACCAAUUGAUCUGGGGAAAAGCUUUCCGAGCAUCCAAGAGAUUUUCAUUGGAGGAAACCGAUUUUCUGGAGCUCUUCCACAAUCAAUAACUAAUCUGUCCAAGCUGCAGAUGCUUUACGUGGAGAACAAUAGUUUUGCCGGAAUUGUUCCUUCCAGAUUGGGUAGAUUGCAAAAUCUGGAAGUGUUGAUUCUGGAAGACAACAUGUUAGAGGCAAACAACGAGGAAGAGUGGGAACAUAUUGCUUCUUUGACGAAUUGUAGCAGAUUACAAAAGUUAAUCAUUGGAUGGAACAAGUUCGCAGGGAAACUGCCAAGUUCGUUGGCUAAUUUGUCCACCAACCUCCAAUGGCUGCGGACUACCAGCAACAACAUAUCUGGUCUCAUCCCAUCAGAUAUUGGAAAUUUGGGAAGGCUUGAGUAUCUUGAUUUUAGAGACAACUUACUCACUGGGGUCAUUCCUGAAAGCAUAGGGAAGCUUACACUGGGGUCAUUCCUGAAAGCAUAGGGAAGCUUACACGAUUGUGCUAUCUAAUUUUGAAUUCUAACAACUUUGAAGCACGUAUACCAUCUUCCAUCGGAAACCUCACUUAAAUCAUUGUGGUUGGUGCAUAUGCCAACAGCUUGGAGGGGCCAAUUCAGAAAACAUUUAGCCCUAGAUAUAUCAAUUAACAAGCUUACUGGCUUUAUUCCUAAAGGAAUUAUGGAGCUCUCAUCAAUCUCAUCAAUUCUCGAUUUGUCUUACAACUUGCUGGAGGGACCCCUUCCUGCAGAAGUUGGUAAUUUGGUAAAUAUCGAAGAGCUCAGGCUGUCAGGAAACAAAUUGUCUGGUGCAAUACCUGAUGCCAUUGGCAACUGCAAAGUCCUAGAAAUCCUAUUUCUGGAUGGUAAUUCAUUUAAGGAAGCAUACCUGCUACUUUCAGGAACAUGGCAGGCCUCAGUCUAUUGAACUUAACAGACAACAAACUGAAUGGCAGCAUCCCUGGCAACCUAGCAACCAUCACUGACUUGAAGGAUUUGUACCUUGCCCACAAUAAUUUGUCAGGAACAAUCCCAGAACUGUUAGGUAAUUCAACAUCACUGCUCCACCUUGAUCUAUCCUUCAACAAUUUGCAAGGUGAAGUACCAAAAGAAGGGGUUUUCAGAAAUAUAACAGGACUGUCAAUCCUUGGGAACAAUGCAUUAUGUGGUGGAAUACAACAACUUCAUCUCCCAAAAUGCACCAAGUCCACUGUAGGGAAGAAAAAGAAAAGCAUGCCAAAGUUUCUCAGGAUAGUGAUCCCUAUAACAGGAGCCAUCAUGCUCUUGCUUUCAGGGCUUGCCUUAGCUGGAUUUUGUUACAGGAAGUCCAAGGUAGGAUUGAAGAAAGAUGAUGAGCAACCUCAAUUAACAGAGAUAGAGCUUCCAAUGAUUCCAUAUAAUGAUAUACUAAAAGGAACAGAUGGAUUUUCUGAGGCCAAUGUGCUCGGGAAAGGAAGAUACGGUACAGUAUAUAGAGGCACUCUAGAAAAUCAUGCCGUUGCCAUAGCAGUUAAGGUAUUUAAUCUCCAGCAAUCAGGAUCAUACAAAAGCUUCAUGGCUGAAUGCAAGGCACUCAGAAGAGUGAGGCACCGAUGCCUUGUGAAGAUCAUUACAUGCUGUUCAAGCAUCAACCACCAGGGUCAAGACUUCAGAGCACUAGUCUUUGAAUUUAUGGCUAACGGCAGCUUAGACAGAUGGAUCCACUCAAAUGUUGACGGCCAAAAUGGACAAGGAGCACUCAGCUUGUCACAAAGGUUAGAUAUCGCAGUGGACAUCGUUGAUGCUUUAGACUAUCUUCACAAUAGUUGCCAGCCACCGGUCAUCCAUUGCGAUCUAAAGCCAAGUAACAUUCUUCUGAAUCAGGACAUUGGAGCUCGUGUUGGGGAUUUCGGCAUUGCUAGAGUUCUAGAUCAAUCAACAAGCAAAAAUCCAAUGAAUUCCAAUAGCUCCAUAGGAAUAAGAGGCACCAUAGGAUACAUUGCUCCAUGUAACUCAGAUAUGCCCAUGUACUUCACAAGAUAGCAUCUAAUUAGCUCUAUGCACAUGAAACAUCUUUUUUAAUUUUGUACAUACCUUAAAUGCCCCAUAUUGUUUCACUCUAUAGCAGAAUAUGGAGAAGGGCUUGCAGUAUCAACUUACGGUGAUGUGUAUAGUCUUGGUGUUACUUUAAUUGAGAUGUUUACAGGAAGGAGCCCAACAGAUGAUAUGUUCAGAGAUGGGAUGAGCCUGCAUUAUUUUGCUGAGGCAUCUCUUCCUGACAAGGUUAUGGAGAUAGCAGAUUCCAAUAUGUGGCUGCAUGAUGGACUAAACACCAAAAAUGAUACAACGCAUAUGACAAGUAUCAAAGAAUGUCUGUCUUCAGUCAUCCAGCUUGGUGUCCUAUGCUCAAGGCAACUGCCCAUAGAGCCGCUAUCAGUGAGCGAUGCCGCUACGGAGAUGCAUGCUAUCAGAGAUCUAUACAUCACUACUCAACAUUCUGGAUCAUAUGCAAGCAGCGCAAAGAUAUAAGGGUGAUUAAGAAUUUACCCCCUAAUGUCAAUGCAAAAAAAAAACAUACAUUUCACAAGUGUAAAAUAGAGUAUCGCAAAUUGGCAUUCACCAUCCAUGUGUGUGUGGCUGUGUCCCCACUAGCUCCUCGACUUUCUUCCGCACAACUCAUGAGAGAUGCAUGCAGGUCUGGCUCCCUCUCCCUCCUGGAAUGUGCCGUUGGUGCCAUGUAUCUUGGCGUUUGUUCACAUAUAAUCCGAUCUUGAAUGAGCCUCAAGGUCGAAUCUGCGUUAUUACUGCAUUAUCAUUGUCGAGCUCCAGAUGGGUACCAAAUAAACAGAAGAAACAUUGGUAAUUUGGCAAUUAACAUGGUUCAGUUAUCCCUGACCUUAGAAAUCAGAUAACGCCGCAACCAUGGCAGCUCCCGGGGCCCUCGGCCCGCGCCUGCCGAGAGUGAAGAGGAAGAGGGGGGAGGAGGCCGCCGCUGUUCGCCCAGACAUACUAGAUCACAAGCUUCUGCGGGAUCGAACCGGGGUUGGAAAUUAGAACGAAGCGAGAAAUUGACCUCUCGCCCACUGCACCGAGCAAGCGAGGAGUCCCUAGUGCUAAAUGGGAGUGCACCUGGAAGGAGAAGGUGACGACGGCCGAUGAAGCCGGGGCGGCGGCGGCGCACGGGGAGGGGGUAGAAGAUGCCGGUACACGACGCCGGCACAGGGAAAAUUUUCUCGGUGAAAGAAAAAAGAGAGAAAUCACGUUGAGCCGGUUUUUUUUACCGCUCAAAAAUUUCGGCCCUUUUGAAUUCACAACCAAAGAAACUCGGCCCAAAAACCCCUGCCUCCCGGCUCCCCAAAACCCUAAAUUUUAUCCCAUUUCUAUGCAUUGUUAUGUCUUGUUUUCCAUGUUAGGUUGUUUGGAAAUAAUCUAGGUUAUUUUUUGGAAAUAAUCUAGGUUAUUUUGUAUACAAACUGAGGGUUUUUUCUAAAUUUUGUCCAAAAGGAAAACGUCGAAUUCGAGAAAUCCGAUAAACGUGUUUCUUGGUGACCUUCGGUUUUUUCUCUUACCGGUAAGGUAAACCUUGCGCAGGCAGCGAUGGCGAUAAGGUGUGAGGGGUAUGACCAUUUUAUCUUGUGUUUCCCCUUCUAUCUAUAAUGGUCAGUUUUUGCAAGGAAACUGUAAUGACCAUUUGAUCCUAGCCAAUUUCUUCUCUUUAUGUAUGCAGGCAGCGGAUGCUACAAUUUCUUCCUUUUUUUAAGAAAUUUGACCAUCACAAAAUGCAUGAUUCAUUAUGGUUUCCAAAUUCUCAUUCCCAAAGCUGUUUGCUUAUACUCUUUUUUGGUUCAGAUCAGUUAACAUAAGGAUCACAUUGACUGAGAAGUCGGACAGCUCAUGGUACAUCGAUGGUGCUUCUGCUCAUGUACACCAACAUUCAUAACACUUUUUGCAUGUGUAUCAGUUUGUAUACAUUUACCAACACUCAAUGCAUGAUAUCAAGAGGAAACUUGGUUUUCCUCACACCUCCCUUCUGAAAACCGUUUUAAUAGAUGACAACAAGAACUGCAUGACAUGCGUAUAUAAAGUCCUAGUGACCCACGAUGGCGAACAUAUUUCCAGCCAGUGUGGAAAUAGAAGUGGUAUGGUAUCCUGCUGCUGGAUUUUGUUUUCAACAUGCGGAUAGCAAGUCACUGGAUGGGAAUGAGGACUUGGAGGGGACCAAUCAUGUUUGUUACUCUUUGAUUGUUUGAAGAUGCUCAUGUUUCCUAAUUCAGCUAACCAACCUAGGCAGAUUAAUCCCCCACCGUUCGUCCACAAACAGUUAUGUGCACUGUCAACUAUUCAGCCUUCUCUAUCCUACAUAAAUCCAAGAUCACACCCAAGCUAAAGCAUACCAAGGUGUACAUGUCCAAUGGUAUGAUGUUUCACUAAGGCAGCCAACGAUCAUGUCUCCAAUCAGCAUGUUAGGUACACUACAAUGAUGAAAGUUGCAACUAGGAAUUGCUCUUUUGGUUUACAUGAUCUUUUAAGGUAGUUUAGAAUUUUGAUUCCCCCCAUGGCAGAAAUCUCCUUUUGAACAUUCCAAAAAAGUUCGAACACUUGAUGUUUGUAAUCAGAACACACAAGUUUCACGUACGAAGAAAAAGAUUAUGAAUGUAUGCUUUGAUCUUUUUCAGCAGCCUAUUAGUAUUUACUGCGACCUUAUUUACAGUCCAUUAAAACAUGCUUCUGCAUCAAUCAAUUACAGCACAUCUUGAGCACCGGAUUGAUUAUACAAAUGAAGAAUGAUCGAUCUCAUAUUCUCUGACGUAAAUACUGCAAGAGAUGAGUAAACUAGAUGAUACUUAAAAGAAUGCAAACUAACUUAUUUUCUUGUUCUUGAUAACAUUACAAAACUCGUCUGUCAGCCACUCUCCACAAAGUAGUAUAACUUAUCAACAAAAGAAUGCAUAUCAACACAAGUAACUUUCUGAUAAACAAUAUCUCCUGGUCUGUACGUAGCUGUAAAUAAAGCCACCUACUUAUAACUUAACAGACAAUUGGUGGCAGGGGCACUUUCGUAUUCUCAAAAACAUGACUCGGGGUAUUUUUCUGUUUCUACAAUCCCCCACGUUCCUAGCAGUUGAUGCCACAUGUUUGGGUGUUUGGGCCAGUGACACGGGUGGUGAACGGGUCGACACGAACCCACAGCAAGGAGAAGAUUGAAGCAAGAAGGAUUGCCCAGACGACGACGAUGGUUGGGGUACGGUUUUGCCUACCCAUGAGACCCUUAAGGAAGGGGUACAAAUGAACAAUCACCCAGAAGGCGAAGAAGAGCUUGCCAAAGAGUGGCCCCCAUGAUUGGUAACCGCUGUUGAUCGCAUAGGAGAUACCAGCAACAACACCGACCAGGUUGAUAAUCAAGAUGGUUGUUGGUGGGAUGAGAAGGGUUGUCCACUUGAACAUGUAGAGCUCCGCAAAAUCACCUUCUUCAUCAUUGGCCUUUGAGGUGACAGUAAAGUUGGUGUCGAUACCAGCAAGCACCUUGAGAAGACCCUGGAAGACGGCGAAAAGAUGGGCAGAGAUACCUCCAAUAACCCAGAAUUGUUCAUUCCUCCACCAUUCGUCAAUGCCAACACCACUCCACCUCAUCUCAAGGAUACCAGUGGCAAAAAUUGAAAGAAAGAGAGAGAUGAACCAAAUACUAGCAAAGUUGCUAAUCUGCAUUCCAAAAUAGAUUCAGUCAGCAUUUUUGUUCCAUGCUCCUUGUAAUAAAGAACAAUUUUGUGUAACCGAUGCUUACCUCUGGGAUGAUGAACUUCCCAGUGAGCAGACAGAUGGCAGGCAGAACACAGUAUAUGAGAAGUGGGAUAGACGUAAGGGGGUAGAUGGUGGUGUUAAUGUAAGCAAAUCUCUCCAAGAACUUCAGGCGUCCUCCAUAGCCAUACCAUAAGGGGCAAUGCCGGCUGAAAAGAAUUUCCACAGAACCAAGAGCCCACCGGAGCACUUGGUUCAGACGAUCUGAAAGAUUGAUGGGAGCAGAUCCCUUGAAAGCUGGCCGCUUAGGCAUGCAGUAAAUUGACCGCCAGCCUCGUGCAUGCAUCUUGAAUCCAGUAAGAAUAUCUUCUGUCACAGAACCAUAGAUCCACCCAAUCUGCAAUUUGAAACAAACUUGUUACCAUUGACCAAGAAAGUCUUACUCAUGCUAACUUCAACAUAUGGUCAUCAAAUUGCAACGACAAUAGAACAAAAGGUGUGAUGUGAACUAAGGGUUCACAAUCAUGUGCUCACAGUUGCUCAUUACUUCAGUUCCAUGUUAUUUGUAUAUCCACCCCUUCUCCAUAAGAAAAAUGAAAACAGUGUUGAUGUGAGGAUUGUUACGUUACCUCAGUUCCCCACUCAGACUUGUCCUCAUAGCCACAACUUAUGACAUGGAUAGCUUCUUUCAGAAGCGAUUCUGGAGUUGCAGACUGAGGAACACCACCAUAUUCCAUCAGAGUGGAGGCAACAAAAGCUGCGGAUUGGCCAAAUCUCUUCUCCAAGCUCAUUUGAGACAUAAGAAGUGAUUUCUCAUCAUCAAAUCCAGCACCUGACAUAUCAAUAAAUGCCAACAUGCAUACAUGUUUUAGAACACCAAAAAUAUACAAGUAAAAACAGCAUGCAACAAAAAGGUACAAAUUUGAGAAAUUAAAAAUUAGUCUUAGCCAUGAAUAUCUAUAAACAUAAAGGUGUACCUUCAACUCCCUCCUCAAUAUCUUCAAGAUUGAAUACUGGCACGGAACUGUCCACAUGCUUCUGUGACUUUUUCUUGUCUGAGCCCUUCUUCUUUGAUUUGCUUGUCUUCUUCCUGCCACCACAGAGUGAUGACAAGAAACCACCC
rnacentral:lncRNA from 1 species